rnacentral:lncRNA from 1 species
ACUUUAAGUUUUGGCUUUCUUAUUUAGUCUUAUUUCAUGCAUCAAAUAUUUACAUUAAUAUCAUGUCUAAUUAUUUUGUAACAUACAUCACUCAUGUAAACCCUAAACCAAAACCCCAAACCUUAAACCAAAACCCCAAACCCUAAACCUUAAACUAAAAUCCUAAACCCCAAACCCUAAACCCUAAACCAAAACCCUAAAUCCUAAACCCAAACCCCAAACCUUAGACCCAAACCCCAAACCCUAGACCUAAACCCCAAACCCUAAACAAAACCUCAACUCCAAAACUGAACUAGAUCUUACCCCAACCCAAACUAAACCAAUCCAAACCAAAUCGAACCAACCCUAGAAUUCCAAACCAAACUGAACUAACCUCAAGCCAAACCAAUAUUUUUUAAUGCCAAAAAUACUAAUUACUUUCGUAAUGUCAAUUGGAAUGAUAUUAACUCCUAUUUAUUCAUUAUCUAUGUCACGUCAAAUGUUCUAUGGAUACAAGCUAUUUAAUGCUCAAAGUUCUUAUUUUUUUGAUUCUGGACCACGAGAGUUAUUUGUUUCGAUCUCUAUCUUUCUACCAGUAAUAGGUAUUGGUAUUUAUCUGGAUUUUGUCCUCUCAUUAUCAGGUGAGAAGGUCGAAACUAUUCUAUAUAAUUAUUUUUAUAGAUAGUUUUGAUGAAUAAAACAAAAAAUCAAAAAGUAAUCCUAUGAUUUUUAAAAUUGUUCGUUGUACAGUGAAAAAAAAAAGAAAGAAGUCUUUUUUCUUCUCUUAAGUUUAAGUUAAGUAAAAAAAGGUAAAAGAAUUAAAUUGAAUUUUAAUCAGACAUCUUUGGCUUUUGUUAGAACCUUUUGAAUCAAGUAGUGGAGUGAUUCAAAAGGUUCUUGACAGCUUACAAUAAGUUUUCUUAUAUAUACGCUGUCCUAUCUUAGUAUUUGUUAGGCUUAGCCUUUUUAUUCAAUUCAAUUAGAUGUUAAUGUAAAUGAACCAUAACUAUGUAAACCUAUUCCUAAUAGAUUGACCCCAAAAUAGCAUAUCCAAAUUAUAAUUGAACCAAUCCUAAAAUCCUUAAAUUGAAUCAAACCAUACCCUAAACCAAACCAACACUAAACUUAGACUAAACCAGACUUUCAAAUCCUAACUCUAAACCCUUAAACCCCAAUAAAACCCUUAAACCUAGCCUAACCCUAAACCCCAAACCUUAAAUCAAAUCUUAAACCCAAAAAACCAACCCUAGAUCCAUUCUCAUGCAUUUGCAUUUUGUUUUAAUAAAUUUUUACAAGCAUCAGUUAUUUUGAAUAGUCAUUACAUUUAUGUAUUUAUAUUUGUCAUUUUCUCUUUGACUAUAAUGCAUAUACUAUAUAUCAUGAUGUUCAUGCAUUGCUUGCUUGUUUCAUGAAUAAAAUGUUCUAAGAAAAAUAUUUUAAAACAAAAAAUAAUAAUAAUAAAUAAAUAAUAAAGGUAAUAUUUUAAAUAAAAAUAAUCCUUGAAAUCUAGCCUAAAUAUAGGGCGAUUCUAAAUGGUUAUUAUUUAUGUGAAAUAUUAUUUUGGUUUUGUGAGACAUAUUGAAAACUCUUAAAGUAAGGGGCAUUUUUGAAAAUUUGUCUAAAUAUAAGGGAGAGAAGGAAGUGUUUUGAGACUUAGGAUUUUCAUAUUGAUCAAAAGUAAUUGGUAUUACUUUUUCUCAGGAAUAAAAAUGAUUUUUUUCAUGACAUAAAAUUUAAAAAGGUUCAAUUUUUGGAAUAAAUAAAUAAAAUUAGGGAAUUAAUUUGCAAAUAUUGAAAGUUAGGAUCACUUUUACAAAAAAACUCAAGAAUAACAUACAAUUAAUUGGUAUUGUUUUUAACAGGCACUGUGAGGGUGCUAAUUCCUUCCUAUGCAUAACCAACUUCUAAAACCAUUUCUGUUUUCAUAAAUCGCAAUAUCUUUUUAGUAAAUUUUAAACUUGUUUUAAUUUUAUAUUAAACGGAUAAAAUUUUUAGGUGGCCAAUCACACCUUAAAAAAAUAUUGGUGGCAAUGCCUUAAUUUUUAUGUUUUCUUGAAAAAGUUUUUUAUUUGUUUUCCCACGUCCAACAAUCAGGUUUUCAGACUCACACAUUUUAACCUAAUCCUGGUCACUUUACUUUUUGAGCUAUGAUUCAAUCCCGAUCACUUUAUUUUUUGACUUGUGAUUCAAUCUUGGUCAUUUUUAUUUUCUAACUUGCAAUUCAGUCUCGAUCAUCUUUAUUUUUUGACUUGCAAUUCAGUCCCAAUCAUUUUUAUUUCUUGACUUGUGAUUCAGUCCUAGUCUUUUUAGUUUCUGACUUACAGUUCAAUACCGGUCAUCUUCAUUUUCUAAAAUGUGGUUCAAUCCCUAUUGUUUUUAUUUCUUGACUUGUAGUUUUGUCCUAGUCAUCUUUAUUUUUUGACUUAAGGUUCUGCUUGGCCCUUUUUAUUUCAUGAUUUAUAGUUUUAUUCCAGUAAUUUUUAGUUUCUAACUUACGAUUUAGUCCCAAUCGUUUUUAUUUUCUAACUUAUAGAUCACUCCCAGUUGUUUUUGUUUUCUGACUUAUGAUUUAAUCCUAGUCAUAUUUAUUUUUUGACUUAUUGUUUAGUCCCGAUCGUUUUCAUUUCCGACUUGAGAUUCAAUCCUGGUCAUUUUUAUUUUUUGACUUGUGAUUUAGUCCCGGUUCUUCUUAUUUCUUAAUUUGUGGUUUAAUCCGAGUUGUCUUUAUUUCCUGACUUGUGGUUCAUCUUAAUCAACUUUAUUUUCUGACUUGCAGUUCAAUAAUGAUUUUUUUCUUAACUUGAGAUUCAAUCCUUGUCAUCUUUAGUUUCUGACUUGCUAUUCAAUCCCAAUCAUUUUUAUUUUUUGAUUUGUAGUUCAAUCUCAAUCGUUUUUAUUUUCUGACUUACGGUUUAGUUUUAAUCAUCUUUAUUUUAUGACUUGUGAUUCAAUUUCAGUCUUUUUUUUUUCAUGACUUGCAGUUCCAUCCUGAUUAUCUUUAGUUUUGACUUGUAGUUCAAUCCCAGUCAUCUUUAUUUUCUAACUUACAAUUUAGUCUCGAUCAUUUUUAUUUCCAGACUUAUGGUUCAGUCCCAAUCAUCUUUAUUUUCUAACUUGCGGUUCAGUCUGGGUCAUCUUUAUUUUUGGCUUGUGAUUUAAGCUCGAUCACUUUUAUUUUUUUAUUUGCAGUUUAGUCUGAUCAUUUUUAUUUCCUGACUUAUGAUUCAAUCCUAGUCAUUUCACCUUUAUUUUUUUACUUGCAGUUUAGUCUGAUCAUUUUUAUUUCCUGACUUAUGAUUCAGUCCUAGUCAUUUUUAUUUUUGACUUACAAUUUAGUCUUGAUAAUCUUUUGUUUCCUAACUCAUGGUUCAAUCUUACCAUCUUUAUUUUUUGACUUGCAGCUCAACCCUAAUCAUUUUUAUUUCUUAACUCACGGUUUAGUUUUGGUUAAUUUUAUUUUUUUGCUUAUGGUUCAGUCUUUGUCAUUUUAUUUUUUUAACUUGCGGUUUAGUCCUGGUUAUUUAUUUUUUAAAUUAUGAUUCAGCUUAAGAUAUUCUUACUUAGGAUGCCUUUAGCAAAAUGAGUAUUUUUUUUUCAAAAACACAAAAAAUUUAAAAAAAAAAAACUCUUUCAAGUUUUUAUCCUUCAUAUAAUUAUUGUCUUUCUGUUUGCAUUAUUUUUUAUUCUAAAAAAUAUGCAAAGAGAGGGCAGUUGUAGACACUUAAUUUUAUCCGGGCAUAUUUUAGCCAAUUGUGAUGCUUUUAAUGUUAAGUCUAGUUCAUGUCUAAUAUUUUUUUAAGAUUUACAAGUUUUUAAAAUUGAAUUUUGAUUUUAAAUGACUAAAUGUGCCAUGAUCAACAUGGUCAAACCUAAUCAAACUUAGUUGAACUUGGGUCAACUUUUAGAAUUCAUAACUAAAUAGGAUUAUUAAGACCUGAGAUUAAUAAAAUUAUGAAUUUGAUUCUUGAAAAUCUUGAUUGCACCUCAUAAAGGUGAAAUUAUCAAAAUGCCAUUUAAGGGAAUUUUUGUAAUUUAGCUUUUUUAGGUCAGCUUUUUGUGAAUGAUUUCAUAUUAAAUUUUGAUUUUUUCUCAUGAAUUUUGAUGCAUUAAAGACCUUGAUUGUAGCUUAGAAAAAUUAGAAUUACAAAAAUACCCUUUAGGUAUAUUUUUAUAAUUUGACUUCUUCGAGAUUGGUUCCUUAAAAUGCUCCAGAUCAUGUCUUUAAUAUUAUUUCAUGAAUUUUGAUACAUUCAAAACCUUGAUUGCACCUGGAAGGUGAAAUUACCAAAAAGCCCUUUAUAAGUGUUUUGGUAAUUUGAUCUUCUCAAGGUUAGUUUUUUACGAAAAGCUCCAAAUCAUGUUUUAGUAUCAUUUCAUGAAUUUUGAUGCAUUGAAAACCUUGAUUGCACCUCAGAAAGGGCAUACCAAAAUGCCCUUUAAGGGUAUUUUUGUAGUUUUACCUUUUCGAGAUUGAUUUUUCAUGAAAAGUUCUAGAUCAUUGUUAGGUAUUAUUUCAUGAUUUUUACUGCAUUAAAGUCAUGAAAAUAAAUAUUAGAUCAUAAGAUUUUAGGAAAGUCAUGAAAAAGCUUAAAAAACACUAAUAAGGGUAAAAUGCUUUUUUCUCAUUAAGACAACUACACAAGAGGCCAAGAUGGGUGCUGUAUUUUUUGUAGAACCAUUGAUCUUAAAAGGUUUAAAUCUAAGGUCAAGAUUGCUUUAUUUCGUUACCAACUUUAGGGGAAAAAAACAAAAUAACUACAACCCUUAAAUGAAAUUGAUUCAAGUGCUAGGAAAAUGGGUCUUAGUCUUUAAAUUUAUUAUUUAAAGUUGGAAUUUGAGAAGGAGGCAGCUGGAAGUGGGGAAAAAAAACAAAAAAGAACAAGAAAAAAUAAAAAACUUUGGAAAGCUUUGUAAAGUUGCCAUUUUCUCAGAUUUUCUUUCAUUUUUCAUACCAUUCCAAUCUUCAUCCUCGUAGUUUUUUCAUUUAUUUUAUGGUUUGUUUGCUACCAUUAUGUGUUUUAAUAAGUUUUUGGUAAUGCAAUCUUAUGAUUAUAUGUUUCCCUAGCUUUGUAAUUUUUUAGCUACAUGUUUUGUGAUUUAAAAAAAUGGUUUUCUUUAACUAGUUAUUUUGGUAGUUUACUAUAUGUUUGAUAAAUAUUCUCCUAAUAAAAAUGGUUUUUUUCAAUAUGUUUCCCAAUUGUUUGAUGAAAUAGAAAUGUGCUUUUUUACCAUGUUUUCCAAGUGUCUGUAAAAUUGCAUUGGUCAUAUAAUAGCAUAGUAGUCUAGCUUCAUGCAUAAUUUGCAUUUUCAUUAAUUGUCAUGUACAUUAUUCAAGUAGCAUUUGCUUAAUCCUCAAACCUUAAAAUUAACCCAAACCCCAAACCAAAACCGUAAACCUUAAAAUCAACCUCAAACCCUAAACCCUAAGCUAAACCUUAAACCAACCUCAAACCUUCAAACUAACCUUAAACCUUAAAACCAACUUUAAACCCUAAACCUUAACCUAAACCAAAAACCAAUUUCAAACCUUAAAAGAAACCCUAAACCCUAAUUCUAACCCUAACCCUAAAUCUAACCCUAAAUCACAAAACCUAAACCUUAAGCCUAGUCUUAAACACUAAACCAAAAACCUAAACCUUAACCCUAACCCUAAAGUUAACCUUAAACCAUAACCUAAAGCCUAAACCAACUCUAAAGCCUAAACCAACUCUAAAGCCUUAACCUAACCUCUAACCUAAAUCUGACUGAAACCCUAAAUUCAACUAAAAACCUUAAAUUGUCUAGACCUUAAAACUACUAAAACCCUAAAAAAUCUUGACCUAUGCCAACACCUAAAGCCAUCACAAAAAUUAAAGAAUUCAUAUGAAAAGCUCAUAUAAAGUAAUCUAUUUUGGAUUACCGCCUAGAGGAUGGGGUACUUAGGAAAUUUUCUUUUAUUCAGUUUUUCAUAUGAUUCCUUAACAUUAGAUAAUAAUAAAAUUAAACAAAAGAAAAGAAACAAAGAUAAGAUCUUAGAUAUAAAUAAUCACAUCUAAACUCUUCAUAAAGGUUGGAAAGUUCAGCUGGUUUCUUUAUAUUUCAGGACCCGAUUCCAAAAUCGCAUCUAAUCAUCAUGCAUAGCAUCCAUUUGCAUCUAUUCAUCUUUAGAUUGUUGUUUGCAUUUUUUACAUGUUUAUGUCUUUUAAUUAUCAUUAUUGAUUUUCUUUGUUAAUUGUUACAUCAUCAUUUUUUUAAAUGUUUAUUUAUUGAAAAUGUUAUUUUAAAAAUAUGGAUUUUUUAUAUAAAAAAACUAAAAUAACAUUUGAAGAGAAAUAAUACUUGGUACUCUAACUAGAUGUUGAGAGUCACCAACAAUUAUCAUCCAUAAUGAAUGUUAAAGAAGUUAUCUUUAAAUUCUGCCUAGAUGUUUGAAAAUUUUAAAGUAAUUCUUUAACAUAAAGAUUUUCGCAAUAUUUCUAAAUAAAGAAUUUUAAUAAAAUUGAUUUUCUCUUUCAAAUAGUGAAGGGAAUUAUUAUUAAAUUUCAAAUUGACACAUUUUUUUAUCCAAUACUAUACAUAACGCAUAAUUAAUUGGUAUCAUUUUUCAAAAUAGGUACUAUAGGGGUACUAAUCCUUCUCAAGGCAUAACUGUACUCCCCAACCCAACUCUGUUUUCAAAAAGCAAAAAUAUCAUUUUGAUAAACCUUAAUUCAUUUUUUGAUUUUAUUAAAUAGAUAAACAUUUUAGAUGGUAAAUCACACCUAACAAAAAAGAUUGGUGGUGAUUCUUUUUUUUAUUAGUUCCAAAAUUUUAAGUCUUGCAAUCGGGUUUGUGAACCCACAUGUUGCAACAAAGCGAAGUUAGUCUACAUGUUGUAUAGCUUGUUGGACUAGAGAAAGUACUCAAUCACCCACUACUUAGCCUCUUUGGCAACUUAGAGCUCACUCUUCAAGCAAUCCACCUUUGCUAAUGCCUCAUUUAACCUUAGAUCAUAUUGCUAUUGUAUGGCUCUAUCGUGGCUUUUUAGACUGGCAUGUUCUCAAGCUUUUGGCUUAAGUCUUUGACCUUUUUGCCAAGCUCAAUGUUGGUUUUCUUGUCGUGGCAUAUUUGGUGAGAGAGUUGAGCUUCUUGGCAUCAUUUUUUACAUCUUACUCAAUCUUGGAAAAAUGAACAAAAGUUCAAUAGGUGAGCAAUAGGCCUUGUCCCAAAUUUUGGGAGAUAGAAUAAGGGGGUCGAUUAGAAACUACAUGUACAAGAGCCAAGUUUAGAGACUAUAAAUUAAAUACUAAUUUUUAAGUCGAGCUCAAAGAUAGUGACUAACCUUUAUUAGACACGGUGGCAUGCGUAAUCUUCUUUACCAAGUUGGGAUCGUCAUAUGCAUUCUCUGAGGAAUUGAACUCUAUGUUAACAUCCCCUUAAAAGAAGGCUAUAGCUUAGCAACAAGGUUAGCAGACGAUGACUCUAUCCUUUGCCUCUUUUGGGCAUCUAAGCUGUAACUUUUUACUUAAGCUUUUGCAUUUCAGUCAGGCUCUUACCAUCUAGUUGGCUUUGCUAUAGAGAUGGUGGAUCGAUAAUCUUAAUCUUUUGAAAGGGACCAUUAAGAUGGGCAGGAACUUUAGCCCUUCUUUUUCCCUAAAGAGGUUCAAAAAACUCGAUCAUGUCAAAAAUUAUAGCUCUUUGACUAGUAGCACUUAAAUAUAUAGUAAUUUACAAGAUCAAUUUAGUGAAAAAUUUUUAAGAUUUGAUUGAUUUUGGUGCAUUUAGUGUUUGUUUUCUUAAUCUUUAGGUUUUUCAGCAUGAAUUAGGAUUUUUAUCCUUGUAAUUUUAAGGCAAGCAUGUAAUGAUGGAAUAUAAUUAAACUUGAAGUAAAACUACUAAAUUUGACUUCAAAUAAGAGUUAUGAUGCUAUGAAGACACCUUAAUGGAUUCAGCUACAUAUGUUUAAGAAGAGUUCAUGCCCAUGUGUGAUAUUUAAAGAGUUUUAAGCAAACAAAAACACUAUGACAUUUGACUAAGAGAGUUUUUAUGCAAAAAUGACUCUUUUGAUCACCAUUCAAAAAGUUAUAAUUAAAGAAGGAUUGUGCAAAAUAAAUAUCAAAAGAUUGGAUGAAAGAUAAAUACCUAGUCUUGUAUUGCAAGCUUAGCCGAAUAUAUCAAGAAAGCAUGGUCAAGAUAAGCUUUCCAUGAUCCAACAUCCAAUAUGAGUUCCCAAGGUAACAUGAACAACCAAGAUGAUACAAGAAGCAAGAUACCAUAUUCGGCCACCUUCUUUAGAGAUCAAGAUAACUUCAAUUUUUAGAAUUUUGAUAGAAUUAAAACUUCAAACUUGUAUUUACCCCUUUAGCCAAACCCACCUUUAUAUAAAGGGAGGCUAGUUCUUGUUUCCAAAAUCCCACACUUCAUAUUCUAUUAGUUUCUUCUUCUUUUGGUUUCUUUAGUUCAUAAUUUUCUUUAGUUCUUUUUAUAGUUUGGCUAAGGUGACAGAUUAACCACAACUAAAAAUGUAUUCUACGUUCUUCUUUCAAUACAAGUAUUAUUCAAGAUAUAGUUUUCUUAAAGCAAUAUUUCUUUUCUAGUUUCAGUUUAUAUCUUGAUUUAUUGUUCACAAGUUUUGAUAAUUUCUUUCCUAUUCUUUUAAUUUUCAAUCAAGCAAUCUUAUUUACUUUCUUUAUGAGUUUUAUACCUUAUUUGUUUUAAUUCUUUAUUUUGGAGAUUUUGAACUCAUUUCAGAGGAUUUUUGGUGUAAAAAGUUAGAAAAUGCCACAACUAGUAUGAUUCACAUCUUUCAACUUGUGGGAGUUUUCUUAAGCCUUUCUUCUAUGAUUUCUUAAGCUUAAUUAAACUUCAUGGAACCGUAUUUCAAGUCUUAAUUCUCAUAUCUCUCAUUUGGAAAUGAUAUUUUUAGCUUAGAAGUGCAUUAUUACCUUUGUAGCAUUUUUACAAGUGCAGGAAAAGUAAUAAGUGCAUUAAUAUAGUGGGAAGCUAUUCUUAGAUUUACAAUUUUCCUAAAUUUUUCAUGAGAUUAUAAUGCACAAGUUGUCCAUUUAAUGGCCUAUAUUUUGGCAGCAAAAUGGAGGAACAAUUUGAUAACAUCGGAACCAAAAGGAGAAUGCAAGAUACAUGGAAGGGUUUAUGGCUAUGUGAGGAGGGAUUUGUGGUGCCACUUUUAGAGAUUCAAGAAGGACAAUUGGACCUACUAAGCAGGCCAUUUGAAGGCUUACUAUUAGUCAAAAUGUUGACUUGUUGAAGCUUAAUAGCUCAUAAGAAGAAGGCUUGAAGGAAAGGGAGUUAAAUGAAACAAACAAGCAAGCAAAAGAUUUAAGGAAAAUAAGAAGAAGGACUUAGAAAGUAGGUAGUUACUUAGAUUUUUCUUUUUUUUCACAUUUUAAGGGGCUAAAACUCCUCCCAUUUGUCUAUAACUAAGGGAGUGUGGCUGGCCAUAGAGAGCAGUAGCUUAGUUUUACAUUUUUACUUUCUUUUUAAUUUAUUCUAUUUUCUCUCUGAAUGGUUUCAUCCUUAUUCAUUUAAAGAGUUGUUUCAAGAGAAAAUUGCCUUUUUUUUCCUACACAAUUUACUUUCCUUGCUUUAAAUUUUCAAUGCAUUUUAUGAUUUCUUCAAUAAAGUUUCAAAUAAUUAAGUUUUCAUGUUCAAUUUCAAUUAAAUUCAAGUGAUCAUUAAAGCUAUUUGGCAUUUUUAGUUUUUGACCUACAUAUGGAAUUUGAAUUGAAACUUGAUCAAAUCUAGUUUGUUUUGAGCCAAAAUUUUUCCUCAGACUCGUAUUGUAACACAUAGAUCUAUAAAUCUAGAGAAGAUCUUAUUCAAAUUUCAUCUACACAAUUUCAGAUUUAACUACAAAGUUUUGGCUAAACUAAGUUAGCAUAGUUGAACUUUGAAUGAGUGACAGCAUAUCAAGGGACUUCUCUCCUUCUUGGAGUUUGGUUUGUAACAUCUAUAUUUUACAUUAAAAUUCAUAUGUUUACUUGUUAAUUCUCAUUUGAUUGCAUUUAAAUUCAUUUUUUUACCUACUACUUGGAUGAUUUUCUUUGUAAAUGCUCUAAAUUUCUAGUUUCUGCAUUAGAUUUGAAUCUUUAUUCAUUAAGCUAGAAUUUCAAUAAUGUGAUUUCUUUGUUGAAUCAUGUUGUAAAUUUGUUGAAUUAGCUUGCCUUAGCUUAAUUCCAGUUUGUUCUCCCUAAAGAUUUCUAGAUCUAAUUUUUCCUUACUUGACUCGGUAGUUUCCAGUUUGUAACUCAUUUUUGGUUUUCACUUUCAUGCAAUUUCUUUUCAAUUCUUGUUCUUUAAUUCAGUUUAUCUCAUAGUUCCUUUAAUGUUCUUGUAAUCUCCAGUUCAUGUUUGCCCAAUUUUAUGCAAUUUAGAUCUAGAUUUUUAGUUCAUCAUUUGGUUUCCAAAUUUGCUUGUAACUUUUAGUUUUCACUUUUUUAGCUUAGAUCUUGCAAUUUAUUUCUCAUUACUUGCACUUUAAUCUAUUUUUACUUUAGUUUAUUACUUUUUUUUGCAAUUUUAAGCUUGAUUUCUUUUAAUUUGCUACAAUUAGAAUCUAGUUUUCAUUGUUAUACUUUCGAUUUAUAGGUUUACGAAUAAGUUUCAUUUUACUUGAUUCCUUUGAAAGUGCAAUUUUGAUGAAUUAAUUCCAAUUUAAUGUUGCUUCAAUUUUCAUUGACGUACUGUUUUGUGUAAUUUUUAUACCAAUUGGUUAAAUUCUUAGAAGUUUCUUUUAUUAAAGGUUAAAGUUAGUUAAAGUUAGUUAAUUCAAUUACACCUCUUUAGUUACUAUUUUACUUGUUCAUUGCACUUGUUAUUUUCAUUUUUUAGCUUGGGUUUUCAUUUUUAAUCAUGUUCAUGUUCACCUUAGUUUGAUUGAGGCAACUUUAGAUAGGGUUUGAGGGUAAUUGUUCUUAGUUUAGGAAUCCUUUUAACUAAUCCUCGUGGGAUCAACAUAUAGACUUUUAUAGUCUUUAUUAUUACUUGUACAAUCUGUACACUUGUAGAAUAGUCCAAUCAAGUUCCUAGCUUUGUUGCAGAGGAUUAGGUGUAAAGAGUCUUAGACUAAUAUCAUGCUUCACCAUGCUCGUCUAUAGAUUAGUUCACCCUUUAGUUCAUAUAGCUUUAAUGUAAAUAGUUUAGACAUAGCUAUUAUAUUUUUGUUUAGCUUUUAUUUUAUUUUUCUUGUAGGAGUCAAAUUUUUUUGAGGUAACCAAGCAUGACCUAGUGAUGAAGGUCAAGCCAAAAAAGAGUUAGGCUUUAAAGAUUUCUUUAAAAAAUUAGUCUCACUAGAAAAUCAAUUAGAGGCCAUUAAAGCUAAGAUUGAUCCUAAGCCUAUAGUUGUUCGUAACUUUUCAAGCCAACCUAAUAAUGAUCAAGUGCAUAGUGGAGAUUACCAUAAUGCUAGGUGUCCAUAUGACCAACAAUACCAAUUUUACCCAAAGCCUACACUACUAAAACUUGGGAUUGUUAUCCUAAAGCCAUGUGUGAUACUAGUCUGAGACAUUCCUUUAGUUCACCACCUAAGCACACCCUUACUUAUCAUACCGAGCAUUCAUUUCCAUAAUACCUUUCACCACCUCAAUAUUCUUUAUCAUCACUACAUGUCUCUCUAGUGCUACAUCAUGUUCCAUCAUAACAACAUUUUUUUAUCACAAUACCAUUGAUCUUUACAUCAUUUCCUAUCCACACCAUAUUCACCACCACCUCUUAUACAUGAAAAGACACCAUCCCUUGAGGAGAUGUUCACUGAAUUGCUCCAAACUCAAGCAAAAUUCCAUCAAGACCAAGAGGUAUUCAUGAGUCAAAAUGUACAUACCAUAUAUAGUUGCCUUCUAAAUCCUAUGCCUAGGACUAUAGAGUCAUAACUUUGUUUGGAGGAUAAGAAAGAGCAUACAUUAAGGGAUUAUUUGAGGAGAGGAGAUCUAAUAUGGAUUGAUAAUGAUGAAGAGCCUAUAGUGAUGAAUUUGCCAAAAUUUAUAAAAGUUGUAGAAGAAUAGAUUAUAGAGGUAUAGGGAAGUUGAUGAUAAAGGAUCAUUUAGGAAAGAUGAGAAAGAGGCAUGCACUCAAGAAAAGAUUGAGCUUAAUAUUCCACUCAUGCCAUUCUUGAGUUCUUUAAAAAUCACUUACCUGAUUGUGUGAAGAAGCAUGAGGUGGCUGUGUUGAUAAGGCAAGAUUAUUAGCUAAAUUACUUAAGCCCUUAGACACAUUCCCUUUUAAAUCUAGUAUCAAGCUUAAGAAUGAAAAUAAGCUCAUUAGGAAAGAACUUACUUUUCUAGUAGCUUUUCCAUUCCAUGAUCACAUUCCCAAAGCUAUAGACACAUCAUUAUUAGAGUUUCUUCUAGAUAGAUCAUCCAUGGAGGAAAAGGUGAGUGAAAAUAAUUUUGGAGAGGAUGGCUCAAUUCCCUACAUUGAUUUGCAAAAAGGUUUUAGAAUUGGUCCUAGUCGAGAAGAAAAUGAACCUUAUAGUAUAACCAUGAAUUUUCCUUUAUGCUUUGAAAAUCCAUUAUAUGAUGAUUUAAAAAUGCAUGUGAUUGAAAACCCACUUUUUGAUAUCAUUGAUAAGCCAGGUGAAAAUGAUGAGGAUGCAAUAAAGAAAAAUUUGAAAGAAAUGUUAAAAGUUGAUAAUGUAGAAGAUUUGGAUGAUGAUGAUGAUAUAGAGGGAUUCUCUACUUGCUUAGAAAUUUUCCUAACCUCUUCUUUUUAGCUUGAUACCUUUAACUUCUCAUCCUUUAUGCUUACUCGACUUAUACCAUUCAUGGAAGAAUUUUUCAUUUUAGAGCCAAAACCCAUAUUUUUCAUGAUGGUACCCACAUCAUUAGUACUAAAGCCAAUGACUACUUUUAUUAGUUCAUAUUGCAAUUUGCUCAGAUUAAUCAUAAAGCUGGACUAUGAUUUUACACUUGAGUACAUGGUCAUUCAAAGCUUACCAUUACAUAUUUGGUUUACAUAUUUAGUGCUACAAAAAAAAAUGAAAUGGGUAGAUUCGAGAACAAAAUAUGAUGUGCUUCUCUAACACUAAUGAAAGUCAAGCUUUAGACUUUAUCAAAGCACUGCUUAAGAGGUAACCCAAAAUUUUCUUUACAUGUUGUUUGUUUUUGUUCAUGUUUUUAGAUAGAUGUUGUUUCUUUUUGUUGAUACAUUUCAAUGUUCAUUUGGUUAUGUGCUUAUCCUUUCCAUUUGUUCUUUGUUCGUCAAGUUAUGCUCUUUUUUUUUGUACAUAUUGAUUUAGUUUCUUAGUGUAGUUGUUUUCUUUGUUUUGUAGGAUGAAUAAGAGUUUAAAGCUAGAAACACUAGUUUUGGCCAAAGCUAGAUGGGAGAUUUAGCUACCAUACCUCCAUGUUGAUAGGGGAGUUUCCUUAUUAUUCUCUUUUAUGAUUUAUUUCUUUCUACUUACACAUUAAGGAUAAUGUGUUCUUUAUGUUUGGGGGUACGGGAAAAUUGUUUAUAAUGUUUGCAAAAUUUUUCAAAUUUUCUUUAAGUUUUACCUUGAAAUUAAGCUUCACUUAUUGUUACUUAAAUUAUUAGUAUGCUUUAUUUGAUUAGUUUUUCGUGAAGCCAAUCUAGAUAGAGAAUGAAGAUGAAUAUAGCUUUAGGAAAAGAUUGAAUAUUGUGUGAAAUAUGAGAUGAUCUUAGGUUUAGUGACUUCUUGAGUUUGAGUUUUCAUUUGUGAGUUAAUACUUUGGUCAUUAAAAUUGCAUUUUUCAUCUAGUGAUUGAUUAUGUAAGCAUGAAAUAUUUUUUUCAUUGGUCUUUAAAGUUGUGUUUUAUGUUCUAGAAUUUGUUUUGAUCAUCUCCUGAGGCAAAAUCCUAGAAGACACAUGAUUAAGGAAAUCAUAUAGGCCAUCUUUGGAUCAUUUAAGCCCUUUCAAGCCAACAUUGAUAUAAUUCUUCCAUAAUCACCUUAUUUGAGCCUAAUAGUAUCAUUUCUUUGUUUUUAAAUUGCAUUACAAAUCCAAGCCUUUGCUUUUAUAUUUCCUAUCUUUUAAUCUUUUACCCUAUGUGCAUUAGGACACUUAUAGAGCAUUUUUUAGCUAUGCAUUAUUAGGGAGGAAGGGUGGAGCUUGGAUAAAGAAUAGGAAAACAAAAAGAAAAAAAAAGGAAAAAAAGAUAAAAGAAAAGAAAAUGAACAAAAACAAUAAAGUGGUGAAAAGCAAAGAAAGAAAAUGAGCAAAAACAAAGUUUGGGGGUGAUUCUUUAGAUAAGCUUUACCUUUCUUUACCUUGAAAACUCAACAUUGAAUGAUACUAUACAAAGUAAUGCAUUGCUUAGGUACUUAAGCCUAAAAUGUCUUUCAUCAUACCUUGACCUUAGCCUUACAUUCAAGCUUAUGAAAGUUCUAAAUGAUCCUUGGUCAUGUGUCUAUCUACAUUAGUGGAGAGAGUUCUAAUCAACAAACAUAUGAAACUUGAACAUACUUUAUUGAUCUUUGUUUGUUGAAUUUUCAUGUUUUGCAUAACAUUACUAGAUUACAUGCAAAGAUUUGUGAAAGGUAUUGCUUGCUUUUGGGAACCAUAGUUAGGAAUGAACUUAACUUAAGUUAUUCUUGUAUAUUAGCAUAUGUUCAUGAUUUUACUUUAGUUAUAUCCAUUGACCAAUGCAUGAGGCAUGCAUGAUGAAUGAAGCAUUGCAAAUAAUUGAUGAUUCUAUCUUAAUCUUGUUUUGCUUAAGGACAAGCAAAAGCUUAAGUUUAAGGGUUUGAUUGCACUAAAAUUUUAGCAUUUUCUUACCUCUUUUUAAGGUAACUUCUCUUGAAUUUUGGCUUGAUCCUUGAGAAUUUUGGCAAAAAUACUCCUAAAUGCACAAAUGUUUAAUAUGUAGGUGAAAAUAUGGAAAAUGAAGAAUUUGGGAUAUGCUGGAGGAUUUUUUUUUGUAAAAAGUUAAAAAAGAGCCAUAACUAGAGUUGAUAUCAUAACUUUAUAGGUAUAGACACCUAAUUUUAUUCAGGCAAAAUUCUAGCCAUCUGUGAAAUACUUAAAAUUCAACCUGAUUCAAAUCCAAUUUUUUUUCAAGUAUUUAAAAUUAAAAUUUGGACCAAUUUGACCCAAAUGCCCAAACUCUAGUUAAAUCUAGUCAAAAUUGGUCAAUUUUGAAAAACAGAUAAAACUUUGGUCAAUCUUUAAAAUUCACAACCAAAUUGGAAUCGAUGUGGUUUAAAAUUAAAAUUGAUUAUUUUUAAAGCACUAAAAAGUUAGAUUGCACUUUAAGAAGUGUAAAAUUACCAAAACACCCUUAGAGAUAAUUUUAUAAUUUGGCUUUCUCAAAGUUGAACUUUUGUGAAAACUUCUAGAUCAUAAAUAAAUAAUUUUUUAUGAUUUUUUAUGCACUAAAAACCUAUAUCACACCUUGGGAAGUGUAAAAUUACCAAAUUACCUUUUAGGGGUAUUUUCACAAUUUGACCUACUCGAGGUUAAAAUUUAAUAAAAAGUUUUAGACCAUUAUUUUAUAAUAUUUAAUUAUUUUUAGAAUUUUGAAAAUCUUGACUAUACCUUGAAAGGUGUAAAAUUACCAAAAUAUCCUUUGAGGGUAUCUUUGUAAUUUUGGUAUUUUGAUAAUUUGACAUUCUCAAUAUUAGUUUUUUACAAAACUUUUCAGGUCAUAAGUUUAUAAUAUUUGAUUUUUUUUUGUACUUUUAGAAUCAAAGCAAUACCACAAAAGUGUGAAAUUACCAAAAUACCCUUUUAGAGGUAUUUUCAUAAUUUGACCUUUUCGAGGUCAAAUUUUCACAAAAAUUUUUAGAUCUUAAUUUCAUAUUAUUUCAUGAUGUUUGGUGCUUUAAAAUCCCAUAAAUGAACACAAGAACAUUGAUUUCAAAGAAAAUGGCCUAAACACCAAAAACUUUGUACUAAUGGCAAAAUGGUAUUUCCAUUGGUUUAAAAAUCACACAUUUGUAGUAAACAAUGUGGACCAUUAGAUCUCAAAUAGAAUCUUAAUCCAAUGGCUUAAGAUUGCUCCUUGGAUUAAAAACAAAUAAAAAAUUUUGGCUUUUGGAUGAGAUUUGAUCUUAUGGCCUUGAUUCCAUCUUGGGAGAUAUUUUCUUGGCUUCUUCUUCAUUUAAGAAGGGAAAAUUUUGGCUGCAUGGGAGGAAAGCUAAAAAUGUCAAAAGAAAAAAAACCAUAAAAAAAGAGAGGAAAAAACAUGAAAAAAAAAAGAAAAGAAGGAAAAGUUUUUGGUGCUUGGCUUAAAGGUAUCCAUUCCAUAUUUAUUCUUUACAUUUUCUAGCAUCUUCGUCCCAUUUUUUUCAUUGCAUUCUUCAUCAUACUUCAUUAAUUUCUUGUUUGAUUUUCAAAAAGUUUUAGUUUAAUUUUCUUGCAAAAUGCUUGAACCAAUUUUCAUCCAACUAAUCUAUAGUUGGUUUAAAGUUGUAAACCAAGCAAAAACAUCAAAAUCCAUCAUUGAUACAACCAAGUUAGAGGUUCGACCAUGAUGUCCUUUUUGUUGGCCAAACAACCUCUUGGCUCUUUGAUUGUUUCACUUGCUUAUUAAUCUUACUAGUGAUGUUUAAAUGAUUCGUUAGUUUGAGUAUUGUAUAGAUUUUUGUUUGGUGGUUGAAAUAUGUAGAUAUUUGGUUCAUGUUUGAGUUUCUUAUAUUUUCUUUAGAUUUUUUUAGUUUACUUCAUGUUUGAUAAAUGUUCCUUGGUAAUCCAAAUGCUAUGUAUGAUGAAUGCAUGAGUAAGGGAUGCUUUUAUGGAUGAAAUAAAAUGAAAGCUUGCUCAAGGAAAAUCUACGAAAAGUUCAACCAUUGCAUUUUUUUCUUUAACCAAAUAUACUUGGCUUGUUGAAUAAAUGUUGUUUGGUUCAUGAUUGAUAUAUAGUGUUUUAGUUAAGGGUUCCAAUGAGGAUUUUGUUAUUGUUUGGAUAAUAUAUUUUUUCAUGAGAUCUUCAAGCUAUAUUAGUUCAUUAUGUGUUUGGUGAAAUUGUUCUAAUGAUUCUCACAUGAUUAAUGAUCAUGUGGAUGAAAUAGAAUCAUGAAGGUUCAGCCAUGGUAGAGUGUUUGGCCGAACCUUAUUUCAUGCCUUGAUUAUUUUUAGUUCUUUGAUCCAUGCUUCAUGCUAUGUUUUUAUGGUGUUUGGCAAUUUUUUCACAUGUUUCAUACAAAGUUUCACUAAAAAAAUGUUGUUUAAAGGUUGUUUUCGGUGAAAUUUUUAUGUUUUUUUGUUAUGUUAAAGAAUGAACAAUUGUGGGACAUUCAAACUAUAAUUUAAAGUUUUCCAUGUUUGAUCUAUUUUCAUUUUGAAUUUUUAUGCACUACAUGUCUAUGUUAUUAAGUUAGAAAAUGCCUUACUUUGGAAUUAUGUUUUUAACUCAUGCAUUUGGCACAUACAUUCAUUAAUGGCAUUUUUGUAAUUUUGCAUUCAUUUUAUGUCCAUUUCCACAAAACCAAAGAAAGAUUGUGAAACCCCAAACCGAAACCCAAAACUUGAAGUUCCAAACUAAAACCAAAAAUCCAAACCCUAAAUCUCAAACCUCAAAUUUAAACCCCAAAAUCCAAAUCCAACCCAAAACCUAAAACCUAAAACCCCAAACCCUAAAUCCAAACCCUAAACCCUAAACCUUAAAUCCAAACCCAAAACCUAAACCCUAAUCUUAAACCUUAAAUCCAAACCCAAAACCUAAACCCUAAUCUUAAACCCUAAAUCAAAACCCUAAACCCUAAAUCUAAACCCUAACCCUAAACCCCUAAAUCCAAACCUAAACACUAAACUUAAGCCAUAAUCCUAAACACUAAAACCUAACCCUAACCCUAAAUCCUAAACCUUAAAACCCUAACCCUAACCUAAACCCCAAACUAAUUCCUAAGCCUUAAAUCAUGCAUGCAUUAGCAUUUCAUAUUAUCUUGUCAUCCCAUGCAUUCUUACAUAAUCAUGCAUUGAUACUUUAUGCAUAUUAUAUUGUCAUGCAUUUGUUUUAUAAAAAAUUAGCUUCCAAAAGAAAAAUAUUUUAAAAAUAAGAUAAUACCUUAGGUAAAUAUAAUCAUUGAGAUCUUGCCUAACUAUAAAAGGACUCCAAUGAUUAUUAUUUAUGAGAAAUGCUAUUCUGAUUUUGUGGAGCAGUUUAAAAACUUUUAAAUUAGGGAUUUUUUUAAACUCUACCUAAUUAUAAGAGAGUAAAAAAAUAUUUUGACAUUUAAAGUAUUUUUUUAUCCAAAAAUUAAAAAAGUUUUGUUUUAAAUUUGAUUUUUUUAUAGUUUUUUUAAAUUUGAUUUAUUUCUUAUUUCAAAAAAAAAGGAAAAGAAAAAGAAAAGAAGAAAAGGAAUUAACUUUAAACAUUAAAUAAAUAGGAUUGUUUUAAUUAAAAUUAAAAGAUAACAUGCAAUCAAUUGGUAUCAUUUUCGACUGGCACUGUAAGGAUACUAAUCUUCCCCACGCAUAACCGACUCCCAAACUCAACUCUAAUUUCACAUAUCACAAACUUGUUCUUUUUUUUUUUUUUUAAACCUAAUUUAAAAUAUUUUAUUAAAAAGAUACAAACUUUUGGGUGACCAAUUACACCCUAAAAAAGAUUAGUGGUGACUUUUUUAUUUUUUUAAUAUUUUUAAUCCCCUCAUUUUUCAAAAUUUUCCUAUUCAUUUAGCUUUCGAAUCAACCCACCCUUAAGUUCUGAUAUAUCGUAAUAGCUCAAGCCAAAUAUUGAUUGCAUGUUAUCCUUAAUUUGGUUUAAUGGUCCUAAUUAGUGUUUAAUUUUAGUUGCUUGAUUUCUUAAAAGAAAAAAAAAAGAAAAAAUCAAAAAAAUUGAAAAAAAAGUGUGUUUUACAUUUCUGUAAAUACAUCAUUUCAUGCAUAUUUUCAUUAUGUGAUUUCAUUGCAUAGUUUAAUUAUGUCAUUUCAUGCACAUUGUAAAUAUAUCAUUUCAUGCAUAUUUUUAAUUAUGUCAUUUCACAUAUAUUGUAAAUAUAUCAUUUCAUGCACAUUGUAAAUAUAUCUUUUAUGCAUAUUUUAAUUAUGUCAUUUCAUGCAUGUUUAAAUUAUGUCAUUGAUUAUAUAUUGUUGUUUCUCUAUUUUCUUCUUAAUAUUUGUGGGGCAUUUAGGAUAGGGUUAGUUUAGGAAAAUGUCAAAGGUUUGAAUGUUCCUUUGCACACACUCACAUUGCAUUUCAUGCAUAAGUUCUAUACCUAGGCCUUAACACUAAUUAGGAGGAAGUAAAGUAGCUAUGCCCUUGUGAGGUUUCAACCUCUGUAAUGGCUAGUAAAAUACUCCCACUUAGAUUCAAACCUUACCAUUCGUAGCCUAUAAUAAGUGAGGAUUGGUGUGCGACAUUAGUCUAUAAUGGACGAUGAUGUGUGAAGCAAUUUGGGAACCUUAGAUGUGUCAAUUCCCGACUUAGCAUAUAUCAAACUUUAGGAAACCAGCCCUAGGUAAAGCCUUGUCGCACCUUUUCAUAGAAAUUACUCAAAAUAAGUUACGUGAAAGAACACAUCCUACCAUUCUCACUUUCAUGUUGCUAUUAAUUUGAUAAUUCCACAUUUGUUGCUCUUCAUAAAAGAUAUAGAAAAUCAUUAUAAAUGAAAAAAAUGAGAAAAAGAAAAAGAAAAAAAAUGGACAGAAAGAAAAAAAACUGAAAAAGAAAAAUCUUUAAAUCAUUAAAAAAAAUGGAAUAAAAGGAGUUGUUUGUUAAUUUAUCUUUUGCAUUACAUUCCCUAAAUUUUUGGUACUAAUUUUUCUAUGUUUUUGUGUUUUCUUUGUUUGUUUGUUUGUUUGUUGCAUGCAUCAUCUUUUAAAAAUAAAACAUCAAGGAUAUACAUUUUAGAUAAUUUUGUCGAUAGAAGUUCUCAUACCAUCUCAAGAGUCUCGAGUAGGAUCUUUGACAAGUAAAACAUUUUAGAAAGUCAAAGAUCAACCGAAAAACAAGCAAUAGAUAGAAGGGGACUAUUUGACAAAUGGGUAUGUUUCGAAAUUGCCAGAGUUGGUUUAUUUGGAUUUGAGAAGAAAUGAUAUGAUGAAUUUAAAAGGUAUUUAGAAUUGAUGGAGUUCAAAAAGGAAAUCAGCCUUCACAACAAGGUAUGGGAUAUUGCUCUAUUAGUACCAUUAAAACUCAAUGAUCAAAUGUUAAAAGCCAUCAUAAGGUUUUAGAAUCCAGCAUAUCAGUGCUUCAUGUUCAACAAAGAAGACCUGACACCUACCAUAGAAUAAUAUUUUGCCCCUGUUAUGCUUAGAGCUUCCAAAGCUCGAUAGAGUAUAUUAAAAAGCAUAAAAGUUGACCGGGUAUAAUAAAAAGUUGGCAAAGAUAAUAGGGGUUCAAUUUUAGGUAAUUGAAAAGAAAAAAAGAUCUGACAAAAAGGUAUCAUGGGUUUUUCUAUGAGAUGUCAUACUUUAGAGUUCAGAUGAAGAUCGAGUUAUGGAUAUGUUUGCCAUGGCUAUUUGCAGUUUGGUGAUCUUUUUUAGAGCUUUAGGAUAUAUAGAUGCCUCUGUGGUGGACUUUUUUAUGCAGUUGAAAGAGAAGAUUAACCCUUCACCGAUAAUUUUGGUAGAGAACAUUAGAUCGUUGAAUUAUUGCAAAAGAAAAAGAGAAGAAAGAUUGAUUUAUGUAUUCAGCUAUUGUAUGUGUGGAUUCAGAGCCAUUUUUUGGAGUAUUAAUCGAGCUCCAUUAUUGAUUUAUAUGAAAACCCUAGCACCGUAUGUGAAAGAAUGGCCUAAGAAUCUUUUAAAAGAACAGUGGAUGGUUUUCUUCCAAAGCUUAGAAAGAGAUAAGGUGACUUGGAAAGUAAUGUGGAUGCCUAAAGUUUCUAUUCUGUACAAUUAUGGAGAUCAAUCUUGGGUUCCAUUACUUGGUAUUUGAAGAGCCAUUACUUAUGCAUCAUUGAAGGUCAGACGAUAGUAUGGGUCCCAAUAGUUUAUCUUGAUGACUCAAGGAUUAGAUUAGGUAAAUUUUGACUAUGGCACAGAAGGGUAGGUGGCUAAAAUGUGCGUUAUAACCAAAGUUUAUGGGCAUACAGUAAGGUCAAAAUUGGGAAGAAAUAUUGACAAUGUAACCCUAUGAUACCUAGUUUGGAAAGCCAAAUGAGUCAAUGAUUUGGUGUUCCCUACAGAUUAAGAGAUAGUAUAGCUAGUGGACCCAUAGGCUAAACCACCAUCGUUAAAAUUAAAGAUUGCUAAAAGGGAGUUUAAAGUCGAAAUGGAAAAGUUGAAGAAAGAAAACCAAAAGUUGUAAAAGAAAACAGGUCAGCUCAAGUAUAAAGAAGGUGUGUAAAAGGAUAUGUUGGAAAAGAUGAUAAAGGAGAAAUAUUUGGCUCGAAGUGACCUCAAGGAUUUACACUUGGUAAACUAAAGGUUGAAGGGUCAGUUAAAAGACAAGGGAAAAGAAAGCAAAGAUUAGGAUGAGAUAGAGCGGCUUUAGGAUGAAGUUCAUUUCUAAAAGCAUAGGGCUUGGGAUAAUAGUGACAAAAUCAAUAUGAUAGUAUAAGAAAAGAAUGAUUCACACAAAGCCCUUGCAACACAUAAAAGGAACUUAAGCAGAAUCCAUGGAAAGAAUGAAGAACUGAAGGAAAAAUUGAGAUGUGAGAAGAACAGGUGCCUGGACACUCAAAGGGUAAAAAUGCACUGGAAAUAGAAAUCAAGGCCAUAGAGAUGCAAUUGUAAGAAAACAAGGAUUACAUUACUGCCUACACAGAAAAUGGCAAGACAAGGAAAUUGAAUGCAAAUAAGUCUAUAAUCAAGAGGUAAAGGCCCACCAGUAUUGGAAGACUAAAAGUUAAGGGAGACAAAUGUCUAUUGAUCACGUUAGUACUUAGAUCCAAAAGGCAGUUAGACCAGCCACAAUGAUGAUGGAAAAGGUAGAAGCUUUAAGACAGAAGGCUAUCCUUAUUGGUAGUCAUAGUCAGCUUCUUUUAGACUUUUUUGAGGAAGUAAAAAGACAAUAUGAGUGAGUUAAGCAUUUUUAUGGCCCUAGUUAUAGGAAAGUUCAUGAUGUGUAGAACUUAAAAUGAAUGAGAACUUCUGUUGAUUUAAAUUAUCUUCAAAUGAAUAUCCCUACUUAUAUUUAAAAGUAUGCUUGUGAUGGAUGUUAAUGUUGCUUUCAUCAAAUUUUUAGGUGGAAGGAAUGUCUUUAAAUAACCUUGCCUAAAUAUAGGAAGGAAUUUAAGCUCCUUCUUAAUAAUAAUAAAAUUGGACUUGCAUACCAUACAUCAUUUGUUUGAAUUCAUUGUUUUUCAUGCCAACAAGGAUAAGGAAUGGUGAUUGUAAUCAUAUUUUCUCAAACCUUUAAAGCAAAGAGAUAUUGUUAAAGGUCUUUGUGGACACUUAAUUUUGUCUAGGAUACUUUACUUUGUAAUCAAUGUUUAUUCUUGCAAUUAGGCCCGAUUUUUGUUUUUCAAACUUAAUACAUGACCCACAUUCAAAAUACUCCAUAUAAGGCCCAAAUUGGCCCGAUAAAGGCCUAUUCGUUAAAGGCUCGUUUUUGGCCGUUAAACAAAAUACAUUUACAAAAUUAUAAUAAUAAUAAUAAUAAAUAUGUAAAUUAAAAUUAAAAAUAUAAAAACCACAAAAAAUAUAUAAAUUAAAAAUAAAAUAAUAAAUAAUGUAUAAUAAUAGAUUUUAAAAAAUACAAAUAUAAAAGGUGCCCAUAAACAAGCCCAUAAAAAUAAGCUACAAGGAGGCCUAUUUGGCCUAAAAUUUUUGUAUGAAAAUGGGGCCAUGCAGUCUAAGUUAAUGGCAAAGGCUUGUACACAUAUCAGGAAUAGGAAAUGAAAAAAAUACAUGCAUGAAAUGGGCAUUUAUAAGCCAAUGAGCAAGCAAAAACAAAACACAUGUGCAUGAAACUGUUACACGCAUGGAGUAUAACAGAUUGAAGCUUGCAUUUUCUGGUGAAAAAACAGAUAUGCAACGUGGGGCAAAGCAGGCUGCAUAAACGUGGGAAGUUGGCUGCGUGGAAAAGGGAAACAAAAGCAGAAACUGAAGGGAAAACAACCAGAAAAAGGAAGCACAUGCGUGAGGCAGUAAAGGGGAAGCAUGCACGCAGCAAAAAAAGAGAAAAAUAGAAGGUAAGGCAGAAAUGAAACAGGGGCAUUUACCUAGAAAAAUAAGGCAGAAAUCAUAAGAAAGGGAGGAGAGGAAGAAAGCAGAAAAAGGGGCAAGGAAACGAAAGGGAAGAAGGAAGAGAAAAGAAUCAAUAAAGAGGCAGAAAAGAAGAAGGCUGGGCGUAAAAACAGAAGUGGAAGGCCAAACCAGGAGAAGAAAUAUGCAGGAAAAAUGAGGCAGAAACUGCUUGGAAAAUAAAAAGAAAAGGAAAGCAGGUGGAACAGAAAAACUAGGCAGCAAAAGGAAGACCAAGCAGCGGAAAAGAGGCAGCAACGUGGGGCGAAACUAAAGAAAACGAAGAAAAGAAACCGAAAAAAGCAGUGCGCGAGCAGGGAAGGGAACAAAUCAGUACAAAACUAGGUAGUGCAGUUCGUGAGGGGAAAAAGUGAGGCAAACCAAUAGCAGAAAACCAAAAAACCAGUGAGUAGGAAGACGCAAGAAAAAAAAACGGUGAGCAGAGAACCGAAGCAGAAAGCGCAAAAGGAAGAAAACAAGCAGCCGCAGAAAGUAAAGGGUAGAACCGAGAGCAAGAAGUAGAAUCAGUAUGCCCUCCCUAUCUCCUUUUAUUGAAUACAUUGUACUAUUCUACUGAUGCAUAUUCUGGUGCAUGUUACACCGCAUUUUUCAUCUAGUUCCUGCAUUUUACUGUUUUCGUUUCUUCUCUCUUUACGUAUGCAUUGGUGUCAUAUGGUAGGGAAGAAAGCUCAAGGUUCACUAGUCUUCUUGCAACUCAACUUUCGAUUUAUUUUUGGUUGAUUAAUGUCUUAUUUGGUCCUUGCCUUCUUGUUGUCUACAUGAUGUUUAACAAAUAUAUAACUCUAAAAUUUUAGAACAUACAUACUAUGUGAGAAACCUUAAGACUCAUCAAUGUUUAUAUGGCAUUUUACAUUAUUAUUGUUAUUACUUUUAUUAUUACUAGUGUUAUUAAAUUUGCCAUCAUAUAAUUAUUUUGGUUAAUGGUUGAUUCAGAUUGAUUAAUGAUUUUAAGUUUGUAUUAGUUUUUUAAGCAAACACGCUUAUGGUAUUGUUGGUUAUGUUUAUGCAUUUUAAUAGUUAUUUGUAUUUUAAAAAAACAAAAACCAAAAUCUCUAAAAAAAUAAUAGUAGUAAAUGAUAAAUAUGUGAAAAACUAAUAAUAAUAUAAGAAAUAAUAAAAAGGACAUAAUUGUUUUAAAUCCUUGCCUAAAUGUUUACAAGGAAUUCAAAAUUAGGUUUUAAGAAUGUUUAAUUUCGCUUAAUUGUUGGGGAAUUAAAUCUCAAAAGAAAUUUGAUUUUAAAAAGAUUUUAGAAUAUUAGUAAUAUAAAAUUAAAUGUAAAUAACUAAUAAAUAAUAAUAAAGGUAUAAAUAAGAAGAAUAAAUUUUUAAUAAAAAUAUAUAAAACUAUAAAAAUUCAUUUUUUAGAAAAUUUAUAAAAACAAGCUUGUACUAAAAAUAUAUAAGAAUUAUUUUUAGAAAUCAUAAAAAACGAUUUUACUCUAAGAAUCUACCUAGAUGUUGGAGAUUUUUAAAGAGACUCGUAAAACCCUAAAAUUAAAAUUGAAACCCUAAACUAAAACCCUAAAUUGAAACUUAAAACUAAAACCCUAAAUUGAAACUUAAAACCAUAAAUUAAAACCCCAAAAUAAAAAAUCUAAACAAAACCCUAAAAUCAAAACUUUAAGUGAAACCUGAAACCUUAAAUCUAAGUAGAAUCUGAAUCCCUAGACCUUAGUUGAAACCCCAAACUCAUCAUAAAAUUUAAGGAUUUAUAUAAAAAUCUCCUAUGAAAUAAUAUGUUCCUGAAUGCCUCCUAGGUGAUGGGGUAUUUGGGAAAUUUUAUUUCAUUAAGAAUUUUCAUACAUUUCCACAACUUAAAAUAAGUUUGUUUUUAAAAUAGCAAAUAUAAAAAUAAUAAAUAAUAAUAGAAUGAGAUUUUAAAUAUAAAUAGUUUCACCUAAACUCUGUCUAGAGGUUACAGAGUCUAGGUAGUCUUUUUGUAUUUGAAAACCUAAUUCCUAAAUUUGCAUUCUAUCAUCAUUUGCAUAUGUUUCAUUUUUAGAUUAAUGUGUACAUUUAUAAUGCCUAUAUAUGUUUAUUUUAAUUAUUGAUAUUUAAUAUUAAUUAUGUUAUUUUUUUGUUUUUCUACAAUAUAAAAAGUUCUUUAAAAAUUAGUUUUAAAUUAAUAAAAUUAAAAUAGCAUUCCAUGACGUAUAAUUGUUGGUACCCUACCUAAAUGUUGGAAUGUCAUCAAUAAUUAUCAUUUACAAAAAAAUGUUAUUUUCUUAUUUUCAAAGGAAUAUUAUGAUAAAUCUUAAAUGAAAAGGUUAUCUUUGAAUUCUGCCUUUUAUAUUGAGUAAUUUGAAGGUAUUUCUUUAAUUUAAAGAUUUUCAUAAUAUUCCUAAAUUAAGAUUUCUAUUAAUUAAUUAAUUUUUUUUUUAAAAGAUAAAGGGAAUUAUAAUUAAAUUUCAUGUAGAAACCAUUUUUGUCCAAAAUUAUAUAUAGUGCAUAAUUAAUUGUUACCAAAUUUGUAGGUGCUAUGGAGGUGCUAAUUCUUCCCCAUGCGUAACCAACUCUCGAACUCAAUUCUAUUUUUGUAGGCCAAAAUUAUCUUUUUAAUAAAUUUUAAACUCAUUUUAUUGUUUUGUUAAAAAGAUACAAAUUUUUUGUGACCAAUCACACCCUAAAAAAGGCUUAGUGGCAACUCCUUAUAUUUUUCAUGUUUUUUAAUUUUUACAUUUAGCGAUUGAGUCUCUGAAUCGAUAUGUUAUGACAGUCUUACCUAAGGAUAGGAGGAUUUUUAAACUAUCUCUUAAAGCCAAUAAUAAGAUUCAUAUCAUACGUUUCUAGCUUUUAGAAAUCAAUAAAAGGUUCAAAGAUAGUGCAUCCUAAGAAUCAUGGAGAAUAAGCAUGCUAACUGAAUUGGAAAGGUAGCAAAGGCACAGGAAGAAACAAGGGAGACAAUUAGGUAAAUACAGUAAAACAUGGAUAGGCAGGUCACAAAAUUGAAACAGUUACUUGCAUGAUUGACUAAAGGAAAAAAGAUUGUUGAAACAUAUGAGGCAAUGGAGGAAAUAGCUAUCAAGGAACUAUUGUAUCUACUUGAGUUUACAUAUCCACAUGUUCAAGACCCUCAUAUGCCACAAGCAUCCCUAGCAACCAAUUAACCUUAUACUGGCACUUUUGCCAAGUUGUCCCCAGUUCAUGUAAAUAUUAACCCCAGGCCUAUUCUUUUUAACCUUAUCACUAUGUUCGAUCUGGAUGAUCAAAAAGAAUGAAAAAAACUACAAGGGGUACCAAAGCUAGUAGAAAAUAUAAAAAUGAAGAAUAAGUAUGAUAUGUUGAAAAAAAGAUUGAAAGCCAUAGAAAGGCAUGAUGAUAUGUAUACAAGUGUCGAUGCUAGUGAACCGAGUUUAGUGCCUAAUCUAGUCAUUCAACCCAAAUUCAAAAUUCUGACAUUUGAGAAGUAUAAUGGAAUUGAAAGCCUUAAGACCCAUUUGGUUCAAUACUGUUCAAAAAUGGUUAGGUAUGCCCAUGAUGAAAAAUUGCAUAUUCAUGUCUUUCAAGAAAGUUUGACUAAAACAGCAGCUAAUUAGUAUUAUAGUUUGGAAAGCAGCUAAAUUUGUGCUUAGAGGGAUUUAUCUUGGAUAUUCUUGAAGUGGUACUAAAACAUGUUAGAGAUAAUAGCAAAUUGAUUAACCUUUCAAAACAUGAAAAAAAGCCUCAACGAAAGCUACAAAGAAUAUGUUGUUAGAUGAAAAAAGGUAGUGUUCUUAGAUGAAAAAAGGUAGCAUUGUAAGCACAACCAUCCCUUACUAAAAGGGAGCUGAACUCCCUGUUUAUAUAUACCCUUUCUUCUUCUUAUUAUGAUAUGUUGAUCAGUAAUUCUCUUCAAAGUUUUCAAACUUACUAUUUACCAUAGGUAGAAUUGAGGAUGGGAUAAAAAAGAAAAUAAUUAUGGGUACUGUAGACACCUAACUUUGUCUGAGAUAUCUUAUAACUUUAAAUUGUGCUCAGUUUGCAAUUGGGUUUUGAUUAUAAAUUUUUGAGUCCAUACACAGUCCAUUUUUAAACACUUGAGGAUGAGGCCUAAUAUAGGCCCUAUAGCAAAACUCUUCACAUGGCCUGAGUGAAAGUCCAAAACGGCCCAUAAAAGCUUAAUAAAAGGUUUUCUUUUUUAAAAGCCCAUUGUUGGGCAUUAAAUAUCAAAAAAUAAUAAAAAUAAAAAUAACUAAAAAUUAAAAAUAAAUAGUUUGGUUUAAAAUAAAGCAAAAAAAAAAAAAAGGAAAAAGAAGAAGCCCAAACAAAACAAGCUUAAAAUCAAAGCCCAAGUUAGCCACAAAUAUAAGCCUAAAUUAAGUACAAGACCUUAAAGAAUAAGCUUCUUGUUGAAACCCCUAACUAUGGGCUUUAUUAGACCUUUUACGUGGGAAUGAAUUGCUUAAAGUUUUACAUGGAAAAAAAAAACUGUUGAAACAAAAUCUUACUUGAAGAAAAAAGAAGGAACACGUGAAACUAAAAUUGUUGUAAAAAUAAAUAAAAAAUGAUAAAAGGGUAUGAGAACGGAAAGGCAAAGAUAGGAAGCAUGUGAAAGAUAAAACAAAUGGAAACUACCAUGCACAAAAAUGCCAUGGGACAUAGGAUUACAGGAAACAAAACAAAAACAUAUGGAAGGUAUUCAGUAGAAACAAAAAGAGGAAAAAAACUGAAUAAAGAAAAGUAAGCCAGAAAACUAAAGGGAUAUGAUUAUGGAAAAGAGGAGUAAGGAAAAACCAAAAAAGGAUAAAAAAAAAUGAAGGGAAUAAUGACAAAAAAAUAAGAAAAGAAAAACAGUACAGAUAAGGAAAAAGUGAGAAAGAAAAAAUUGAAAGUAAUAGAAAGGAGGAAGGAAUGAAAGAAUACAGCAUGGAACAUGCGACAAAAAAAAAAAGAAAAAACUAGAGAUUGAGGAGGGAUACACAAGAAGUAAAUAGGUAGCCAAAAUGAAAAAUAAAAGACGAAAGAAGUAGGCACUAAAAAAAACCAAAAAAGAUGGAAGGUAUUUUUUAGGGAACGGGCUGUAGCGUAGAGUUAAGCAGAAAGAGCAGUGAACGUGAAAAAAGGAAAAUAAAAAAGAAAGGAUAAGGGGAAAAAUAAUAAAAAGGUAAAACCCGAAGAAGAAAAAGAUCUGAAAAACAAAUGGUAAACAAAAAACAUAGAAAAAAAGAUAUGAAAAGAGAAAAAAAGGAAGAAAAAAAAAAGGGAGAAGUAAAACUGGAACAUGAGGAAAACAGUGUCAAACAUUUGAGCAAAUAACAAGAAAGAAAGGGCAAUGGCAAAAAAGAAGAGAAAGAUGUUAGAAAAAUGGUCCAACCCCAUGUAAUUGGUUUUUGACUAAUCAAAAACUAUAGGCCUUAGUCUUUUUUUUUUAUACAGAGCCCUAGCUACUUAAUAAAAAGAGGUAGUGCUAUUUUAAAAUGGUGUCACAAACCAAGAAGAGAAAGAAAAAAAGCCAAAAAAAAUAAAAAAAAAUAAAAGGGAGAGUUGGUUGAACAGAAGUCGAUUCAUGGUCUGAUUAAGCUGAAACUUUGUCAGUAGGUUUAUGAUUCAGAGUUUUACAUUCUGAAUGGUGAAGAUUAGGUUUGAAGCUCUCUAGAAACAAAUCCAAGAUAUAUUUUUGAGUUACCAAUUUAGUAAAAUUUCUUCAAUUAUCUCUCUAGUUGCUAAUUAGCUCUAGUUUUAGCUAGAGAAGAACAUUGUAUAUCCAUUAUUUGGUAGUGCAGAUUUUUCUGAUGAUCCAUAGUUUUUUUCCCUCUACGCUAGAGGGUUUUUAUGUAAAUCUUGGUGUGCUUCAUUUUUCCUACGUUUUUUAUUAUUGAUUGUUGUCUAUUACUGUGGGUUUAUUAUGAUAUAUUACUUCUAUAUUAUUGUGAUUAUUGCUUCAGGCCCAACAAGUGGUAUCAAAGUGAGGGUUAUUUUGAGACAUCGAUAUAGAAACAGCUCAAGAUAGAAGUAAAUUCUAUUUGAAAUUAUGAAGGGUGAUAGAGGUUCUAUGAUAAAAUUAACAGCAUCAAAUUAUUCAAUUUAGAAGCCUAUGAUGAAAUAUCAUUUAUACUGUAAAGAUUUGUAUGAGCCGGUAUUGAGUGAUUCAACUAAACCAGCAGAUAUGAAAAAUUAAAACUAGAAGAAGUUAGGCAAAAAGAUGCUGGCUAUAAUAAAAAAAUGAGUUGAUGUCAUUGUGUUUCAUUAUAUAGCACAAAAGGCAUAAGCCCAUAUUGUUUGGGAAAAUUUGGCAAUAUUAUAUGAGGGAAAAACAUGUAUGAAUAAAGUUAUGCUUGUUAAAAUGCUUGCAACUUUACAAUAUAGGGAUGAAUGAUUUAUUAUAGAGCACUUGAGUGAUUUUCAAGAUAUAUUUAAUUGGAUGAUUACUAUGGAGCUUAAGAUAGAUUAUGAACUAAAGGCAUUAUUUCUUUAGGUUCAUUUCCAUAGAGCUGGAAUACUCUAGUUGUGACUGUUCUUAAUUCAACUCCUGACUACAAGGUGACAUUAGAGAUGGUAAAGAACAGUAUGCUUAAUGAAAAAGCAAGGUGAAAAGAUUUAGACCCUAGGAAUCAAGCUCUAGUCAUAGAGAAUAAGGGUAGAAACAUCGAUAAAGGUUAAAACUCAAAAGACCAUAGUAAGUCUAAACAUAGAUCUAAGUCCAAAGAUAAAGUGAAGUAUUUUCAUCAUGGUAAAGCAGUUCAUAUAAAAUGACACUAUAAAAUCUCAAAGCAAGAGUGAAAAUAUAAGAAAGGUAAGAGUUUAGAUGAUGGCAAUAUUACAAUAGUGAAUUCAGAUAGUGAUUCAAUUACUUUGAUUUGUACAUAUGGUGAUUAUAAUCAUGCUAGUGAUCCCAGCAUUGAGUGGAUAGUUGACAUAGGAAUAGUAUAUCAUUGUGUUCCUAAGAGAGAGUUGUUUACAACUUACAAAGCAGGAGACUUUGGUUGCACCAAGAUGAGAAACAAGAAUGUAUCGUAGAUUUUGAGAUUGGUGAUAUUAUUAUACAAACUAGCACAUGCUGCAUGUUGACUUUGAAGAAUGUCAGAUACAUUCUAAAUAUGAAAAUGAACUUGCUCAUUAUUAAUGUCCUUGAUAAAAAAGAUAUGAGAGUCGUCAAAAGAAUGGGCAAUGAAAGCUUCUCAAAGGAUCUAUGAUAGUUGUACAGGAAAAACUAUGCUACACAAUGUAUAAGACAUGGAUGUAAUUGAAUGGCAACCAAGUAAAUGCCAUUGAGGAUGAUGUUUCAACAAACUUGUGGCACAAGAGGUUGGCACACAUGUGCGAGAAGGUGUUAUAAGAUUUGGCAAGGCAAUCUCUCAUUCCCUUAACCAAAGGUAUAUCUUUCGAUUCAUGUGAUUAUUGUUUAUUUGCUAAGCAUUGUAAAGUUUAUUUUCAUAAAAGUUCUAAAAAAAAAAGAAAAUAGAUUGGAAUUGAUUUAUUUUGACGUAUGUAGUCCCAUUGAAGUUGAGUCAUUAGUGGUAGCAGGUAUGUUGUUAGUUUUAUUGAUGAUGCUUCACGUAAGACUCAAGUGUAUAUGUUAAAAAACAAAAGCUAGGUAUUGCAGUAUUUUUAAAAAUUUCAUGCCAUAAUCCAAAGGAUGAUAAGGUUGCCUUUGAAGUGUAUUUGGACUGAUAAUGAUGGGGAAUACACAUCUAAAGACUUUGAAGAGUACUAUUUAAAACAUGAGAUCAGGCAUGAAAUGACAGAACUUGAAACACUACAGCAUAAUGGUGUAGCUAAAAUGAUGAACCACAACAUUAUGAAAAAAAUCAUAUACAUAUUGAGAAGGGUAAAAUUACCAAAGCCAUUUUAGGGUGAAGCAGUCAACAUAGCUUGUUAUUUGCUUAACAGCUCACCAUCAAUUCCUUUAGGCUUUGACAUUCCAGAAAGAGUAUGGAUAAGGAAAGAUGCUUCAUACUUUCACUUGAAAGUUUUUGGGUAUAAAGCAUUUAUGCAUGUGCCAAAAAAGUAAAGGUCAAAGCUUGAUAGUAAAGCCACACAGUAUGUGUUUAUGGGAUAUGGUGAUGAGGAAUUUGGCUAUAGGGUAUGGGAUCCAGUGAAGAGAAAGACAGUAAGAAGUAGAGAUAUGGUUUUUCAUGAAAAAAAAACUAUAGCAAAUCUUGAGAAAAAUAAGAAGACUACACAGGUUACUGUUGAGUAUGAUGUUUCAACACCGAUAGGGGUUCCAUAGAAAAGAGCCACAAAUGGUGGAAAUAAGCAAGAAACAAAACUUGGAGAUAUAAAUGAGCCAACCAUAGUUAGUGAUAAACCAUAUGCAAUCAAUUUUGAGUAGGGGGAGCAAUCCUUUCUACCUAAGAGUGUUGAGUAAAGAAAGCUACAUUCGAUAUCAGGUGAUGUAGAGUCUCAGCCUAAGAUCUAGUAGAAAGCACAAGCCAUCUACCAGAUACCAAGUUUAAAUUUUAUUUUAGUUAUUAGUGAAGGGGUGCUAGAAAGCUUCCAAGAUGUGCAGGUUACUCUGGAUAGAGAGCAUUGGUUAAAAGCAAUGAAAUAAGAGAUAGAGCCAUUGCAAAAAAAUAGUACUUAUGAUCUUGUUAAACUUUUGAAAGGGAAGAGAUCGUUGAAAAAUAAAUAGGUGUUCAAGUUGAAAAAGGAUAGUGAUAAACUAAUGAGGUACAAAGCUCAAUUGAUGGUGAAAGGUUUUUCUCAAAAACCAGGUAUCGAUUUUAAUGAGAUCUUUGAUCCAGUUAUAAAGAUGAGUUUCAUUCAAGUGGUACUAGGAUUAGUAACUAGUUUGAAUCUUGAGCUUGAAUAACUUGAUGUUAAAACUAUAUUCUUGCAUGGUAACUUGUAAGAGGACAUUUAUAUGAAUCAGCAUGAAGGUUUUAAAGUGAAAGGGAAAGAGCACUUAGUUUGCAAAUUGAAAAAAAGCUUAUACGGCUUGAAACAAGCUUCGUGACAGUGGUACAAGAAGUUUGAUUCUCUUAUGAUGAGUUACGGCUAUAAAAAAAUGACAGUGGAUCCUUGUGUGUAUGUUAAAAAAUUCCCUAAUGAUAACUUCAUUAUUCUUUUAUUAUAUGUUGAUGAUAUGUUGAUUGUGGGAUAAGAUGCUGGUAUGGUUUGCAGGUUGAAAAACAAUUGUCUAAGUCCUUUGACAUGAAAUAUUUAGGUUUAGCAAAGCAAAUUCUUGGUCUGGACAUUAUCCAAGAUAGGAGACCUAGAAAGCUAUGGUUGUCAUAGGAAAAGUAUAUUGAACAGGUGCUUAAUAGAUUCAACAUGCAACAUGCUAAAUCAGUUAGCAAUCUACUUCCCAACCAUUUUCAUUUGAGUAAGAAAUCUUGCUCAGUGUCUAAGGAAGAGCAAUUAGCUAUCUCUAGUAUUCCUUAUUCUUCUACAGUUAGUUCUUUAAUGUAUCUUAUGGUUUGUAUACGACCUGACAUUGUUAAUGCAGUUGGUGUAGUGAGUAGAUUUCUUUCUAUUCUAGGAAAAGUUUAUUGGGAAGCAGUGACAUGGAUUAUUGACAUUGUUAAUAAAAAAUGUGCUUGAGUUAUAAAGUUUCACAACCAGUUUUAAAAGGGUUUACUAAUGCUGACAUGGUAGGUGAUCUUGAUGGUAGGAAAUUUACUUCAGGACAUUUGUUCAUUUUUGUAGGAAGAGCUGUCUUGGCAGUCUAAGUUGCAAAAAUAUGUUGUUUUGUCAACUACAGAAGCUGAGUAUAUUGUAGCAACUGAAACAGGUAAAGAAAUGUUUUGGAUAAAACAUUUUCUUCAUGAAUUAGGGUUGAAUCAAAAAGAGUAUAUGGUGUUUUGUGAUAGCCAGAGUGCUUUAGAUUUGAGUAAAAAUGUUAUGUACCAUGCUAAAACGAAGCACAUUGAUGUUAGAUAUCAUCGGUUACAUUCAAUGAUUAAGGAGCAGUAGAUACUAUUGAAAAAAGCCUAUACUAAUGAGAAUGUAGUAGAUAUGUUGAAUAAGAUACUUCUUAGGAAGAAGCUUGAGCUCUACAGUAACUCGGCCAAAAUGAGUUUUUUUGCCAAGGUAAGUUUCAAAUGAAAUUGCUAUGAUGAUGAAUCUCUUCCUAAUAGGGCUACAAGGGGAGAUUGUUAAGAAAAUGGUCCAACCCCAUGUAAUUGGUUUUAGACCAAUCAAAGGCCAUGGGCCUUAGUCUUUCUUUUUACACAGAGCCAUAGCUACUUAAUAAAAAGAGGUGGGGUUGUUUUAAGGUGUGUCGCAAACCAAGAAGAGAAAAAAAAAGCUAGGAAAAAUAAAGAGAAAAAGGAAAAGAGAGAGUUGGUUGAACAAAAGUUGAUCCGUGAUCCGAUUGAGCUAAAACUUUGUUAGUAGGUUUCUGAUUCAAAGUUAUUCAUUCUAAAUGGUGAAGAUCAGGUUUGAAGCUCUUUAGGGAUAAAUCUAGGGUGUAUUUGUUAAGUCACCUAUUUGGUGAGAUUUCUUCAAUUGUCUCUCUAGUUGUUGAUUAGCUUUGGUUUUAGCUAUAGAAAAAUUUUGUAUAUCUAUUAUUUGAUAAUAGAUAUUUUUUUGGUAGUCCGUGGUUUCUUUUCCUCUACACUAGAGGGUUUUUCACAUAAAUCUUGGUGUGCUUUAUUUUUCUUACAUUUUUUAUUAUUAAUUGUUGUCUAUUGCUGUGGGUUUAUUACGAUAUAUUGAUUCUGCAUUGUUGUGAUUAUUGCUUCAGGCCUAACAAAGGAGAAAAUGCAGAGAACAAAAACAAAAAAAGGUGAAAACAAAAAGGCAACAAGCAUUCAAGAAGAGUAUGGCAAAACUAGAAACAAAAAGAAGGCAUCCAAAAGCUAGGCGUGCACUAAGAAAAUGAGGAAACAAAAAAACCAGGGGAAAGCAUAAAAAAAAGAGAGAGAAAUAGGUAAGAAAACUAAAUGAAAAUCAAUAGCAGAAGUGAUUGAGCAAGGAAACCAAUAGUAGAAUAGUUCCAGGAUGUGAAGACGAAGAAAAAAAGAAAAAUAAGAAAGCAAAGAAGGUGAAGAAGGCAUAAAAAAUAAAAAAAAAUUGGCAACAAAAAAAGGAUAAGAAGAAGAAAAAAGGAAAGAGAAAUAUAUAUAUAUAUAUAUAAAAAGAGGAUGAAAGACUAAUUGUAAGAAUUGGUAGCAUUUUAUUCACCACUUUCAACUAAUUGACGUUCAUGUUUUGAAAUGCAUGUCUUGUGUGUUUACCUUUUUUAUUUAAUAAAAAAAAAAUAGAAGAGCUUUUAAAGAAACAAAAUAAAAGGCUCUUAAAAGUUUUUCCUUUCAAAGUAAAAACAUGUUGGAAAUAGUCUAGGAUAAAUUAUGUCGAAAUGAUUCAAGGCACUUACGGUUCUUGUUGUUGUUUAAGAAACAUGAAAGCUACAUUGCUUUUAUUUGGUUUAUUCUAUUUUUUGCACGUUUGAUGUUUUGCUCAUUAAAAUUUGGCUAUUGAAUUUUUGGCUUUUGUUGAUGAUGAUAUCACGAUCGAUUUUUGUCCCAUGAUUAUAUAAUGUUUUUUUGUCUAUCACCCAUAUUUUUGGUUUUGACUAGGUUAUGAAAAUUAUUUUUUAUGCUCUAAUAAUUAAGAAAUUCAUCAAAGACAAGAACUUGAUAGUUGUGAAAAAUCGUAAAAGAGUUCUCAAGCCUAGACAUCAAGAGCUUGAUAGUUAUUAAAAAUCAUAGAAAAGUUCAUGAUCCUAGGCAUCAUGCUUGUAAUUUUUAUUAGGCUAUUGCAUUAUCAUGUUGCUCUUUUCAUCUUUUUUCUUAGCUUAAAAUAUAACAAGGGAUAUUCAUGGGUUACAAGGAUAAAUUGAUAAUUAGUUUUGGAAAAAGGUGGUAUAAGGACCAAAAAUUUGCUUAUUUUCAUGCAUAUGACCUACUAUUCAUUCUUCAUAUAAUUUAGGUUUAUUCAAAACAACAACAAUAACAACAACAACAACAACAACAACAACAAUAAUAAUAAUAAUAAUAAUAAAUUUUUAAAUCCCUACCUAAAUGUUAGAGGGAAUUAAAAAUCAUGUUUUAACAAUAAUAAUUCCACCUAAAUGUUGAAAAUUAUUAAAUAAAAUAAUAACAUAAUAAAAGAUUAAUAAAUUAUAAUGACAAUAAAAUUUUUAAUGAAAAGGAAAAUAAGUAAAAUGAUAAAGAUUCAUUUUUUAGAAAAACUUAUAAAAAAUGAACUUGUACUAAAUAUAUAUAUAUAUAUAAGAAUUAAUAUUUAAAAAUUAUAAAAAAUGAACUUGCUCCAAAAGUCUACUUAGAUAUUGGAGAUUUUUAAAGGGUUCAUAAAUUCUUAAAAUCCUGAAACCUUAGGUGAAAUUCAAAACCCUAGGUGAGACCCUAAAACAAAAACUCUAAAUCAAAACCUAAAUUGAAACCCCAUAGUCGAAACCCUAAAUGCAACCCUAAAACCUAAACCCUGAAGGAAACCUAAAACCUUAAAUAGGCCUUAGUUGAAACCUUUGCAUCCCUAAACAUUCCCAAAACCCCAAAUUCAUUUUAAAUUUUAAGGAUUUGUAUGAAGUUUUUUUUUUUUUAAGGAAUAAUCUGUUUCUAAAUGACGCCUAAAUGAUGGGUAUUUAGAAAUUUUUAUUUCAUUAAUUUUUUAUAUAUAUUUUCAUAACUUAAAAUAAAAAUUGUAAUAAAGAAUAAAAAUGAAAAAAUGGGAUUUUAAAUAUAAAAUGUUGCAUUCAAACUCUGCCUAGAGGUUAAAGAGUCCAUAUGGCCUUUUUAUAUAUAAAGACCCAAUCUCAAUUUUGAAUCUCCUUGUCAUUUAAGACACAUUUGCAUAUUUAUUUUCUUGCUCUUAAUAUGCAUAUACAUGCAUUUUUAAUUUUUGUUGUGUAUGGUUUACUAUAGCCUUUUUCUAUUUUUAUUGUAUAAAAUGCUUCUUUUGAAAAAAUUGAUUUAAAAAAAAAUAAUAAUAAUAAUUAAAUUAAAUUAAAAUAGCAUUAUAUCAAAUAUAAUAAUUGGUACGCCGCCUAUAUGUUGGAGAGGCAUCAGUGAUUAUCAUUUACAAAAAAUGAUAUUUUAUUAUUUUUAAAGGAAUGUUAUGAUAAAUCUUAAAUGAAAAGACUAUCUUUGAAUUUUGCCUUUAUGUUAGAGAGUUGGAAUAUUUUCAUAAUAUUCCUAAAUAAAAACGUUUCUCUAACUAAUUUUAUUUUUUAAAAACAAAGGGAAUUAUAAUUAAAUUUCACGCAAAAACCAUUUUUAUCCAGAAUCAUAAAUAGUGCAUAAUUAAUUGGUACCAAUUUUGUGGGCGUUGUAAGGGUGCUAAUCCUUCCCCACACGUAAUCGACUGUCAAAUCCAAUCUAAUUUUUGUAGAUCAAAAUCAUCUUUUUAAUAAAAUUUAAACCCAUUUUAUUAAAAAGAUAAAAUUUUUGCCAAGCCAAUCACACUCUAAAAAAGAUUGGUGGCAACAAAUUUUUAUUUCCAGGAUAGAGUUACUAAGUUCUAUACAACCUUCACCAAUCAUUUCGAACUCGAACCUACAUUCAAAUCUUUCUCAUGUCUGUUUUCAAGCUCUUUUCCAAGCAUCUAGGAUCAGGCCCUAAAACUUUAUACAAUCUCCGAGAAGUCCACAUCUAAACCAAAAUCUUCAGCCUUAUUUUCCCGAACCACUUGUCCAACUAAUAGCUCAACUCCAUACCUUGGCACCACUACCAAAGUCUUGGACUCCUAGUCAAUAUGUUACCCAAAAAUUAUCCAAGAAAAAGAAAUAGUUAGAUCAUUUUCUCAUUUCAUAUGAAAACCUCUAUUCCUAUCUAUUUUAGAGACAUCUUAUUGCCCUUAUGCCUUUAUAAACAUUAAAGCCUCUAUACCCAAAAUAUUUCAACCUAAAUGCAAGAUGCAAAUACUACAGUGGGAUUAUGGGGCAUUCUAUUGAGAAUUGUGAGGUUUUCAAAUGCAAAGUGUAAUCACUCAUAGAUGCAAAAUGGCUCGAUCUAACGAUAUUAGAGAGUUAAGGAUUUAGGAACAAUAAGAAUGGGAUGGCAUGAUGAUGAACAUGGAUGGGGUUUUUGUUUUUAAGUGAUAGGUUGUUUGGAAAAUGAAAUGUUUUGUGAAUUUCUUUUGUUUGUGAAAUGUUUCUUUAUGUUAAUAUGAUAUUGUCUUUUUGAACUUGAAUAUGUGAAUUAUGAUUUGUCUUUUAUUCUUGUCCCAUUUUCAAUUUUCACACUUUUCACCAAAAAGCUUUGUUAUUUGUGCAUUCAUUCAUUCAUUCAUCCAUAUAUGCAUCCAUUCAAUAAUAAUGUAAUUCAGGUGUGCUUUAAAAGAAGGAUUUUUUUUUAUAAAAUAAUCCCUGAGAUUUUUCUAAGGAUCAAGAGAAUAUUGAUUCAAUAGGAUAGAUGAAAGAGAUUAUCGAGGAACUUUUUACUCAAAGAGAUGAUCAACCUAAAGGACCUAGCUUGGGACCCAUACACUACAACAAAUCUGAUAAUUUGUGACGAUUUUUCUAAGUGACACAUAAUAUUUCGUCAUGCAAAGUAUGUAAAAAGUGACAAAAAAUAUAUUUCGACACACUUUUAUAUUGUUUUGAUAUUUAUAUGACAAUAUAUAAAAUUGUCACAUGAUAACAUCACCAAAAUCUUGUCAUCAAAUUUUAUUGCCAAAUUUAUUUGGUGGAAAAUUUUUUUGUGACAUUUUUUAUUUUAGGUGACGUUAUAAUUUUGUCACCAACUUAAAAUUUUAUUUGUGACAUUUUUUCUAGUAGAUUUUAGGUAACGUUGUUAAUUCUUGUCACAAAAUGAACGCUUUAGUUAAUUAUUAAUGACAUUACAAUUUCGUCACGUCAAUGUAUGAUUUAUAUGAUGAUAACAUAAAUGUCACAAACUUUUACCAUCAAAUUUAGUUGGUGAAAAAUUUAUUUAUGACUUUUUUUUAUUUUUGGUAAUAUUAUAAUUUUUGUCACCAAUUUAAAAUUUUAUUUGUGAGGAAUUUCUUUUAUAGAUUUUAGGUGAUAUUAUUAAUUUUUGUCACAAAUUGAACACUUUAGUUUACUAUUAAUGACAUUAAAAUUUCGUCACAUUAAUGUAUAGUGUUAUAUAACAAUAGCAUAAAUGUCACAAACUUUUACUACCAAAUUUAUUUGGUGAAAAAUUUUUUUAUGACGUUUUUUAUUUUAAGUGAUGUUAUAAUUUCAUUACCAAUUUAAAAUUUUAUCUGUGACUUUUUUUUAUAGAUUUUAGGUGACAUUAUUAAUAUUUAUCACAAAUUGAACACUUUAGUUAACUAUUAAUGACGUUACAAUUUCAUCAUGUCAAUGUAUGGUGUUAUAUGAUGAUAAUAUAAUGUCACAAACUUUUACCAUUAAAUUUAUUUGGUGGGAAAUUUUUUUGUGACGUUUUUUCUAUUUUAGGUGACGUUAUAAUUUUAUCACCAAUUUAAAAUUUUAAUUAUGACGUAUUUUUUCUAAUAGAUUUAAGGUGACGUUAUGAAUUUUUGUCAUAAAUUGAAUACUUUGUUAACUAUUAAUGACAUUGCUAUUUCAUUAUGUUAAUAUAUGGUGUUAUAUGAUGAUAAAAUAAAUAUCACAAACUUUAAAAAGAUGCUAUGAUGUUAUUUAUUCAUCAGUAGUAAGUUCAAAGUAAUGUAUAAUUUAUAAGUGACAAUUUUGCUUAGAUUAUAUAUAUCUAAAUAGAAAAAAUUUUAAUUACACUUGACCAUAUUUGUAACUUUUAAGUAAAAAAUGAAUUUUAAAUAGUUAUUAAUAUCCAUACAAAAAAAUAAUUUUAAUUGAAAUUUUCCUAACUACACCCUAAGAAAAAUUAUAUUAAUUGAUAUAAAUAUAGGAUUGUUUAUUGCUUAGAAGCCUAAAAAGGCUCAAUGCCAUUUUGGCACUUUCCCAUCCCAUGGCCAAGUUCAUAAAAGUACUAGGAUGAGGCUAAUUGUAACUAGAAAAUAAAUUACAAUCCUAUUUCACUAUUUAAUAAUUAAUUGAGUACUACUAUUAGUAAUUGUUUUGGUCUAUUGGCAUUGUCUUACCAGUUUAUUCUUUAAGUUUUAACAAUAGUGAAAUACUUAAUUGAAAAUUUUAUAACUUUGAUUUUUUAUAAUUAAAAUUAAAAUUUUAAUAAUUUAUUAACAAAUUACAUAUUAUUAGUUUAAAAAUUACACUUUUCAUAUAUGACCCUUAAAUAUUAUUUAUUUUAAUAUAAUUUAUUAUUAGAAACUAUCGAAAAAGAAAAUAGAAAAAUAUUGGGUUUGAGUUAAGUAUGCAUUCAUAUAUAAAAAUUUUCUAAUUCAAAAAAGGAUUAAAUAUUACAUAUAAUAAAAAUUUUAAAUACAUAUUUUGUUUAUAAUUUUAAUAAAAUUUUAAAAUUUUAAAAAUUUCUAAUUUAAUAAUUUUGUUAAAAGAAAUUUUUUAAAGUAAAAAAUGAAUUUUAAAUAAAAAAAUUUUAACUACAUACUAAUAAUUUUUAUACAAAAAAAUUUUAAUUCAAGUUUAUCCUAAACUACACCAUUUAGAUUUUUUAUUAGGUUUUUCACACUCCUUCCAAAACCCACGCUAACAAUCUUGUAGUUAUUUUUGCCAAAACUGCCUUUCAAACUUUCUUCUGCAUAAUCGUGUUGAAGCCGUGCUCAAACCAGUGCCGUCACUUUCCUUUGCUCUUCUCAAACAAUUCUCAUCUACUUUCUCAUUAGAUGGAGUGAUGUUGAUUGACUAGAAGCCAAGUUUGUAUUCAAUCUUCAGUCGCGACCAUAAAAUAUUUGUUUGUUCAUGUUAAUCUUUGGUUUUAGGUUUUGUUUUGAAUGUAAAUAAUUUGUGUUGCCUGAUUUUUAUUUGAAAUUUGAAAUGAGGGAUAAAAGGUUUCUGAAGAACAAUCCUAGUUUAGGAAAUCUUCUAUUCAAGUUAUAUGAAACAAAUUUCUUAGUUGAGUCAAUGUUGCAUAUUUUUAGAAGUUUUAGGGUAUCUUUUGUUAUGUACAUAUUUUUAAUGUUGGAUGAUGCUAAUGUGUGCCUGUUUGGAAGUGGUUGGCAUGGCUAAAGGUUGUUUACAAUUUUCUCUUUGCAAAGUAUUUUCUGAUAUAGUUAUAUCAGAGUCAUAGUAAUAGCGAAAGAAAAUCCUAUAUCUUUUCAUAUCACAGUUAUAAUAACAGGUGCUGUUUAGAAUUUUCUCUCAGUGUCAAUAACUGGAUAGGAUUGUCUGGUAUUAUAGUUAUAGGUUUUUCUUUUGCUUCUUUUUAAUGUAAAGAAUAAAGAUAAGCUGAUUUGCUAUUGUAGUUCACAUAUUGUAAAAAGUAAAAACCUUAAGCUUUUUCUAAGGAAAUUACACAUUGUUCUGGUGAUGCUCUUAUUUGCUUAUUCUUCCACUUUUUAUAUUUAUUUUCAAAACAUGACCAAUCUUCUUGAUAGUUAUCUAAUCAACAUUACAAGAUUGGUUUAUUAUUAGGUCACAUACCACUUCUUUCUUUGGAAUAAAGGAGCCCCAUUUGCUAAAGAUCAAGGGAUUAACAAUGGCUUAACUUGGUGGGAGCAAAUAGACAAUGGAAAGCAGCUUACCCAUAACAAAAAGUUUUUAACUAUUAUACCUAUUGUUAUGUAAGUCUUUUAUAUGAUAUUUUACAACUUCUCUAUAACUUGAUGAUGAUUUUAUCCUAUUAUUUUUUACUAUAUAUCUAUAAUUUAUGUGUGUAUGCAUGUUUUCAUUCUCAAGCAUUGAAUGCUUAUUAUUUAGCCUCGUACAACUACAAUGGAUUUAGGCUAGGUGUUGAAUUUCUAAGUAGCAACAAUAGAUUUAGGCUAGAGCUUAAUGCUAAAAUGAUUGUUUUGUGGAUGGGGCUAUUUUGUAAGUGGGUCAACUAAUUUCGAGUAGCAAAUAUUAAACUAUUUAGGUGCUUUGAAUCGACUGGAUUGGAUGGUAUUUAUGAUUCAUAAGCUCAUAAACUUGUAGAUAUUAGCCACCCUUCCCACAUUACCAUUCAUAGUACUUAAAGGAUAACUACUGCAUUCACAAAACAACCUAAAAAAUCUAAAGCUUUUAGAAAUGGAGAGGGCUUCCAUAGGGAAUUACCCCACACCAGAUGAUGAACUAAAGUAUCCUCAACAAUAAUAUAACAUAAAAAUAAAAAGUAACCAUCCCCAAUAUCACUACUUUCUGAAAACAAGCAAGCAAAAACUUCCAAAGAUACCACUAUUAUUUUACACAAGUCGGAAACAAAGUCUCAUGCAGUAGUCUGUAAAAGGUAGGGAUCUUAGAUGGGUACUAAAAAGUAACACCGACAUGACUAAGGAGUGUGUGAAAGGUACAUUCUAGAUUAGCAUUUAUUUUUUAUUUCUCUAAGAGUGUGUAAUAUAUGUUUACAUUAUACACUGAUAGCAGUUUUCAAUUCCUGGAGUUCUCUAAUGACUAAAGAGCAAAAGAAAAGAAAAGGAAUAUUGUUCAUGCUACUAUUUAUGUCUGUAGAGCUCAUUCCAAUUUAAAUAUGUUUUUAUUUUCUGGUUACAUAUAAAAGGGAUUACAAAUGUUAAAUACCGUUUUUUAAAAUUAAUUGCAUGAACUGUUAAUUUAAUUUGAAUGGGUUAAAUUAUUCUUAUUUCAAAAUCUGAGGUCUAAUCAUAGAAAGUUUUCAUGCUAUAUAAAGUUCUUCUGUUGAUAUAAUUGAGGUAUUCUUGCUUCUAUAAAUAGUAUUCAAGAACAAGUUGCUCUUUUAUUCCUUUCUCUUGUAGGCUAAGAGGCAGCUCCAUUGGGUUUUAUAUUGUAUGUCUAUUGAUUUCUGGAAGUUUUAGGAAAUAUUUAUUAUUUAUGCUUGUUUGGCAGUGGUUGGCAGGGAUAAAGGAUCAAAAACGUUAUUCAGAUUGCUCAAAAUUUAAUAAACUCAUUCACAUGAAUAAAUCUAGAAAUUACAAGAAAUACAAACCCAUGUAGGAUAAACCCAUGUGGAUCAUAAUCUAUCAGCUGAUAAACCCAUGUAGGAUUUCAGUUUAAUUAAACUAGUGAUAUUCAGAUUCCUUGGUCUUUGUUUUAGAAACUAUAUGUUAUAGGUUAAUAUUUUCACAUCAUUUAGCUAUGUUUGGUGAAUUGACAGUAGCCCCUCAUCUCAUUUGUCAUUUCCCAAAUUGCUAAUGCACUUAAUAUGCAUAGAUAUGUUGCAUCAUUAUUCUACUUUAUAUAUAUUAUUAUAUAUUUUUAUAUAAUUAUAUGACCCCUUUUUUUUUAAUAAGAAUCGAGAAGCACAAGGUUGUCCAUUAGAACUAGCAAAAGUAGUAGCAGUAGUAACAGCGAAAAGACAAAUCAGAAAAACUGAUUCUUGGGUAACCCAUUGGGAUGAAAAAUGAUAAUGGUGUAUUUGGGAAGUAAGACCAAAAUCUAUGGAGAUAAUGCCAUUAAUAAUGGUUGCUAACUACUAAAGAAGGAAAGUCUUGUCAUUGUAACAUCAUAUUUCAUUUCAUAUGCAAUAGUGAAGUGCAAUGAAAAUGUAACUGAAUAUGGUCUUAACUCCAAAAUGAUGAAAUUGGAAAGCGUCUUGUCAUAUUUCCGUCUUUCAUAAUCUCAAACUCAACAAAUUGGAACAGAAUUUGUUUCUUCUUCCCUGGCCACUUUCCUUUUGUUGUUCUAAGUCUAAAAGGCAAAAUGCAUACAUUAUUUCAGUUUUAUUUUUUUGGCCCUACAUAAAUUAUUUCAGUUUAAAAGUUAGUCUCUGUUCUUUUGAAACUAAAAGUUUAUUCUCCAUUUUUUUUUUUUUUUUUACGUUUUGAAAAACUCUUGUUGUCUCUGUAGUAUUGUCUCCAAUUAUCAAUUAAACUUCAAUUAACUUGAUUGCUUUUGUUUAACAUUGUUAAGAAAGCAACUUAAAACAAAUAAAAUGGAGCCUUUGUUUAUAACUAUAGGUAAUUAAAAUUUAAAGCUUUUGAUUUCUUUGAAAUUUUAAAAUGUAGUUUACUAUUCUCAAAUUUAUUCAAUUAAUUAUGACAAGAGUAAAAAGAAAAGUCUUAACUUAAUGGUAAAGAUGACAUCUUAGUCUAUUAGAACAUUAAAAUUCUGUUCUGCCUUUAGUUUCUCUAUUAGUCUAGUUUUCUGUUUUGCUUCUGUUUUGCUUUCCGAUUUUUCAAUUUUUUGUUUUUCCAAUUUUAUGCAUAAUGUUUUGUUUUAAAAUUUCUAGUUUUCAUCACUGCAUAGUCUCAUUUAGCUUUUACAUUACUUUUGAUUAGGACUUUUAAUUCUACAUUAGCUUUAGUUUUUGUUUUAAUUUACAAUUUUAUUUUUAGCUGCUGCUUUACGUAAUUAAAUUAAUUCUACAUUACAAUUUUGGUUUCCGUAUAACAGUUUUCAAAUCUAUUUUUAGUUUAGUCACUAUAUUAGUAAUUUAAUUAAAUUUUGCAACCACAAUUUUUGUUUCUACAUAUAUAGAUGUAAUUCUGUUUUAUUUUCUGUUCCGCCUUAGGUUUUACACAAAUUUUAUUUUCUUACAUUGCUGUAGGUUCUGUUUUUAGUUUCCACAUUAGUUUUAAUUCAUUGUUUUUAAUUUACAUUUAUAAAUUGCAUUUAUUUGAAAUUAAAUGUAACUUUUAAUAAUCUAUGAAGCCAAAGCAUGAACUUAUUCCUUCUCCUAAGUCUUACUAAGUCAAGGACAAUUUAGUAAGGAUUUGGUGAGUCUUACCAUUGCCCAAUGUGCCUUACACUGUUUUUAAUUUACAUUUAUAAAUUACAUUUAUCUGAAAUUAAAUGUAACUUUUUGUAAUCUGCAUGAACUUAUUCCUCCUUCUAACUCUUACUAAGUCAAGGACAAUUUAGUAAGGAUUUGGUGAGUCUUACCACUACCUAAUGUGCCUUUAUAGCUAUAUAUCUAAUGUGCCUUUAUAUUCUAUUUGUUGGCAUGAUAGAAAAAAAGUCCAAAUGCUGUGGUCACACUUCAUGUGAGUUGUAGAUGACGCUUAUUAUUUUUUGAAUUGUAAUACUCUGCAAUUGCUAAGACAAUACACUGAUAAAACUUUAUUCUUGUGAUGCAAGAUAUAUUAAAGUAUGAUAAUGACAUAGGCUCUUUGAAAGCAGGUGCAAUUGUAAUUUUCCCAUGAUUUAUUUGAAUUGAUUUAAAAAUAGGCUUCAGGUAAUGGUGAUUACUUGUUUAAACAUGAACCACCCAUCUUUUGUCUAUUUCCUAUGAUUAGUAUCAACAUUGCAAAUUGAGAAGUUUACUUGUCAAUUUCUUGACAAUACCUAUUCUUUAAUAUAGGGUAGGGCCUCAUUUAAAAAUUCUAUAUGCAUAAAAAGGAUUAGUUUGUUUUUAUAUUAGUUUUAAUCUUAUUGUAUGUAUUGUGGUUUGUUUUGAUAUUUGUUAUUAUUUAUUUAUUACAGCUUCAAGUAACACAAACUCACCAUCAACACAAUCACUCUCAACACAAGACUUGGAUUGAGAGCUUGAAGACAAGAUUUCGAUGAUUAGGUAUUUCAUAGUUAUGACUCCUUGAUUUUUUUUUUUUCAUAAAUAGCUGACGAAAACUAAUAUCACAAAAAAAAUAUAUGGUGACAUUUUAUUUUAUUGUCAUAGUAGAUUCACAAUAGAUGACAAUAUUUUGCUAUUGUCAUAUUAAACCUUUAGCGACAGUGCAAACAUGAUGAACAUCAUGACGUUUAAUUUUUUGUCACGAAAUAUAUAGGGUAACGAAAAACAAAUAUUUAGUGACAUUAUUCUAUGCACCACUAAUGACCAAAUUUGUUGUAGUGAUAAGGAAAGAUUCAUGGAAUCUAGAUGAAUAGAUGAGAUAUAGUCUCUUUGAAGAAAAGAUUCAAGCUAUUGAAGGUAAGGAUAAAUCAUGUGAUGCAAAGGAAUCCCAAUUAGUUCUAGAUGUGAUUAUUCCACCCAAGUUCAAGGUUUCGACAUUUUAGAAGUAUAAUGGAACUGGAUGUCCUGAGACACAUUUGGUUCAAUACUGUCAUAAAAUGAUUGGGUAUAUUGGUGAUGAAAAGCUAUUUAUUCACGUCUUUCAAGAAAAUUUGAUUGAGGUAGCAAUCAACUAGUAUUAUGAUUUGGAAAGCAGCCAAAUUCGUACUUAGAGAGAUUUAUCUUAGGCUUUCUUAAAGCAAUACCAGCACAUGUUAAAAAUUGCUCCAAAUCAACUAAACUUUUAAAAUAUGAGAAAGAGCCCCAAUGAGAGCUAUAAAAAGUAUAUUGCUAGAUGGAAAGAGUUUGUGUUGCAAGUCUGACCACUAUUAACUAAUAGGGAGCUAAUUUCUCUAUUUAUAGAUACCCUUCAUUUUCUUUAUUAUGAUAAGUUGAUUGGCAAUACAUCCUCAGAUUUGUUGAUUUGUUAUUUGCUGUGGUUAGAAUUGAGGAUGGAAUAAAAAGCGAAAGAAUUAUGGAUGCCAAUGUGGAAAUUCAUAAUGAAAUGUAAAGGAAUAUUUUUUAUGAAUAUGCUUAAAAAGCAAUUGUUGAAGGAUAAAAUAAGAGAAACCUCACCAUGAUACAGAAAGGUUUGGUGAAUAAUUAUUUCCAAUGGUCAUUGUAUUGUUCUCAACCAACAUCUCUGGUUGGUAAUUUUUUUCAACCAUUUCAUUUGUGUGCUAUAGUUUUUUCACCACAAACAUUCACAAAACAAAUGAUCUACCCCAACCAUUCAGAAAGUCAUAAAAGAAAGAUAGUUAAGAUGUAUCAUUCACUCUUAAUGUCUUAUGCUGAGCUAUUCACGUUACUAGUAAAAAAUCAUAUGAUUUUUAUCAUUCCUACAAGGCUUAAGAAGCCUCUCUACCCAAAGUGGUAUGAUCCUAAUGCUAAAUGUGAAUCCAUGAUAAGGUGAAAAGAUAUUUUAUAGAAAACUGUACUACCUUCAAAGAUACAAUUUAGGCUUUGAUUAAGGUAGAUUCCAUGAAGUUUAAAUGAUUGGUUAGUGGUUUUAAUGGUAAUGACAAAGGUGUUACGAGUCAAUGAUGCUAAAGUUGAAGCAUUAAGUGCGAAACUUUUUCUGUAACUUUAAAAGUCAUCUCAAGAAUACCAUUGGAAAGGUGAAUUUUUUGGUCAAGUUUGUAUGUUUGCAUUGCAUGAAUAGAUCUUGUGUAUCAUAAAUGUUUCAUGGAUUUAUAUUAUCAUUUGAUAUUUUCAAUUUCUUUUAAAUUUUAGACUUGUAGGUUUUCUUUAAAAGAAAAUGGUAAAAAAAGGGCAAAUGUUAUAUUUGAAUAAAGCCUUACAUAAUUAAAUCCUAUAGUUAUAGAAAGAGAAAUGCCAUAAUAAAAGAAACAAAAAAUACAAAAAAAAUGAGGAAAAAAGAAAAUUUUGAAUCUCGAAAAAGUUAACAAUUACUGUUAGAAAUUUAUCAAAUACCAAAACAUUUUUUCUUAAAUCAUCUAAUUGACUCUAUUUCAUUAGCCAUAUCCCUUCAAAAUCCAUGAAUUUGAAUUUGUGAACUUUGCUUUCACUUGAUAAUGUAUGAUAUCAAUGAUAUUAUGUUCCUAGGUAAUGAACAAUGAAACGACCAAUUUAAAGCAAAUGUGGUUCCUGAAAAAUUAGGCAUAUAUGACAUUUUUAAUAAUUCAAAUGCAAUAAUUUGAUGUGUUAAUAUUACACUAUAGUUAAUUUUCAAAAUCAAAAUUACCCUAAGUCUCGUAAAAUGUCCUCAAACAUACCAACCUUUUAGCUAUUUACCCUAAAAUUAGCUUGGUCUAUUAUCUUGAGAGCAUGUUGAUCAGAGAAGACAAACCUCAUUACCUUGAGGACAACUAAAGUUAUGAUCAACCCAUUUGUUCUCUUUUUGUUGAGUAAAUCAAAUCAUUUGAUACCUUAAACGGGUUCAUUUUAUAUGACCUUUUUCGCAUUUAUUUCCCAUGACCCUUUUCUUACAAUAACUUUUAUUGAUGGUGGUUUGUUAAAACGGGGCAUUUUUUGUAAAAACACAUUACUAACAAAAUGAAUUUAUAUAUGAGUUAUGUGGGGCAUGUUAAAAAAAAAAAGAAAGAAAAAAAGAUAAAAAGAGCAAAAAAGAAAAAAAAAGAGACAAAGAAAAUGGUUAUGACAUCAUGCACUUAAGAAAUUCGAAUAGAACCCCAAGUAAAAACUUGACAAAUCCAAAAUUUUGGAGAAAAAAAAAUGAAAAAACAAAAGUCCAAAAUGAAAAAGCCAAAUGAAAAGUCAAGCAAGAAAAAAUAUAAAAAAAUAAAAAAUAAAGAAAAACUUUUGCAAUGAAAACCUUUAUUCAAGUUUAUUUUCCUAAAGGGAAUUGCUUUUUAAUUUAAGUGGUUAUGCUUGAAAUGACAAAUGGUCAUAUUUCAUCAUCCUUUCAUAAAUAUAAAAAUUUAUCUCUUGUUACCCUUUUAAGCUUGAUUAAAUUAUUUCAAAACAGACCUUAAAAAUCACCCUUCACACUGGGGGUAAAAAAUAUGCAUUUGGAGAUUAAAAAAGUGAUGUCCAAAUGGAAUUCCAUAUGUUGGGGAAAAUGCCCAAUGUAAAAGUUCCUAAAAGUGAAAAAAUGAACAAAAAGAGUAAAGUGAAAAGAAAAAGGAAAAGUGAAAGAAAAUGAGAAAAUGAAAGAAGAAAAGAAAAGAAGAAGAACAAAGGAAAAAAAGAAAAAGAAAGAGAUUAAAUGAAAUGAAUGGGUGGAAAAGCAGAAGAAAAUGAAAGGUAAUAUACCUCAGAGUGUAUCUUUUAAAUGAAAGAAUGAUUCUUGGUUUCCUUUACCUUUAAACACUUAUUUUAGGCCUUUUUAUCCCUUUCUUUGACAACCUCGAACCUUAGUCCAUGUUACAUCCUAUGAAAAGUUCAUAUUGGAUCAAACAUGGAUGCUUACAAAUUGAAGAGUUUCUCUUAGCAAAGUGAUCAUGAAACCCAUGAACCUUUUUGGUUCCUUUUCAUAGCCUAAUUUUCUUUUCGAUCCAUCAUCCCUUUUUGAAGAAAUUCAAAAUUUUAAGUGCAUGGUGUGAUAAUCAAUAAAAAAAAUUACAAAAAAAAAAUCAAGAGGGAAAAAUAGAAAAAUAAAUGUGGCUCGAGGGUGAAAAUCCUAAAAAAGGUAGUCUAAAGCAAACCUUGAAGAUCACUUCUAAUACUAAAUGUGGUAGAUGCUGAACAAAGAUAAACCAAACAUUUUUUAAAGACCUGAAAUAUCAAGGUCCUAGAAGUUUGAAAAUGAUUGAUUUUGAAAAUUUAGCCUUUUUUCAUUCCCAAAUGACUUUCAAAAUCUUAAGCCCUUACAGCUAAUUUUGACACACAUUAAAAUGUCAUAUAUGAAGGCAAAAGAAAGUGUUUAAUAUGUUUAAUUUUCAAGGGAUUCAUGUUUUUAGAAAAACUUAUGUUUCAUUUAUGAGCCUACAUGAAAAAAGUAUAUACCUUGUUUAUCCCUUUUAAGGAGGAAACCCUUUCGAAUGAAUAAAAACCUUAGUGUGUUGAGCCAUUCAAUCCAUUUGGAAAAAAAUUUCACCUUUUUUGCUUCUGACAGGGAUUGCCAACUGUCGACAAAAGAAUUAAGCCUAGUUUAAUUGGCAUCAAUGAAGAUUUAAGCCCAAUUUAGAUAGCACCCAGGUUUUAAGUCUAGUUUAGCUAACAUCAAUUAAUAUUUAAGCCCAAUUUAGCUGGCACCCAAGUUUAAGCCUAAUCUAGCUAGCAACUAAUGAAAAUUUAAGCAUAGUUUACCUAACACCGAUGAAAAUUUAAGUUUACCCAAGAUUUAAGCCUAGUUUGGCUAGUACCCAAUAAAGUUUUAAGCCCAAUUUAGCUGGCAUUCAAUGAAAAUUUAAGCUCCAUUUAGCUGGCAUCCAGUGAAAGUUUUGAGCUUAGAUUAGCUAACUCCCAAUGAAAAUUUAAGUCUAGAUUAGCUGGCACCCCAUGAAAAUUUUAGCUCAACUUAGUUGGCAUAUCAUGAAAUUUUAAGCUCAGUUUAAUUGGUACCCAUGAAAAGAUUUAAGCCCAGAUUAACUGAAACCCAAUAAAAAUUUAAGCUUAGUUUAGCUGGCACCCCAUGAAAAUUUAAGCCUAGAUUAUCUGACACCAAUGAAGUAUUAAGCCUAGUAUACUUGGCACGAAAGCCCAAAUUAACUGGCAUGCAAGCUCAAAUUGAAAAUUAACUCAUUCGACCUACAAUUUAAUCUCGGUCACUUCAUAUGACUUGUGGCUUAUUCUCAAUCACCUCAUUCAACCUAUAGUUUAAUCUCAGUUACCUUAUUCAACUUGUGGCUCAGUCUCAAUCACUUUAUUCGACUUGCAGUUUAGUUUCGAACACUUCAUUUGACUUAUGGCUUAGUUUCAGUCACUUCUUGGACUUGUUGUUUAAUCUCGGUAUCUUGCAAUUUAAUUUUGGUCACCUCAUUCGACUUGUGGCACAAUCCCAGUCACUUCAUUCGACUUAUAGUUUAAUCUCAAUCACCUCAUUCGACUUGUGGCUUAGUCUCAAUCACCUCAUUUGACCUACAGUUUAAUCUCGAUCACCUUAUUCGACUUGUGGCUUAGUCUCGAUCACUUUAUUUGACUUGUGAUUUAAUCUCGGUCAUCCUAUAGUUUAAUCUCGAUCAUUUUAUUCGAUUUGUGGCUUAGUCUUAGUCACUUCAUUCGACCUACGAUUUAAUCACGGUCAUCUUGUAAUUUAAUCACAGUCAUUUCAUUCAACUUGUGGCUUAAUCCCGAUCACUUCAUUCAACUUACAGAUUAAUCUUGAUCACUUCACUCAAGUUGUGACUUAAUCUUGAUCACGUUAUUAGACUUGCAAUUUAAUCUCGAUCAUCCUGCAAUUUAAUCUCAAUCACCUUAUUUAACUUAUGGCUUAAUCUCGAUCACUUCAUUCAACUUAUAGUUUAAUAUCAGUCAUCUCAUUCGACUUAUGGUUUAGUCUCAGUCACUUCAUUCAACUUAUGGUUUAAUCCUAGUCAUCCUACAAUUUAGUCUUGGUCACUUCAUUCGACCUACAAUUUAGUCUCAAUCACUUUAUUUGACCUGUGGCUUAGUCCCUGUCACUUCAUUCAACCUGUGGUUUAAUCUCAGUCACCUACAGUUUAAUUUCGAUCACUUCAUUCGACUUAUGGCUUAAUCACAGUCACUUCAUUUGGCCUGCAGUUUAAUUUUCAUUAUUCUUAUCUUUCAACUCAUUGUUUAAUCUUGGUUGUCCAAAAAAAAUAAAAAAAUAAUAAUAUAAUAUAAAAACAAAAUAAAAAACAAAAAACAAAAAAAGAGGGUAAUAUCUAGACAAAAUUAUUGUUAAUAUCUUUGCAUUAUUCCUGAUCUUUUAGAAAUACAAAGAAUGUACCUAUAGACAUCUAAUUUUAUCCAUAAAAUUUUAUAACUUUAAAUCGGGCUCGAUUUGAAAUUGGGUUUUGACUAUAAUUUUUCAAGCCUUUAUAUGAUCUAUUUUUAAAUGUUCGAGGAUGAGGUCUAAAGUAGGCCCUAUAGCAAGGCUCAUCGAGUGGGCUGAGUGAAAGCUCAAAAUAGCCUAAUAAAAGCUCCAUUAAGGCCAUUAAAUAUAGGGAAAAUAAUAAAAAUUAUAAUUAUAAUUAUAAAUUAUAAAUUAAAAUUAAUAGUUUGGCUCAAAAUAAAGCCAUAAAAAAAACGAAAGAAAGGAAAAACAAGAAGCCCAAACAAAACAAGCCUAAAAUCAAAGCCCAAGUUAAUUAGCCAUAAAUUUAGGCCCAAAUUAAGGACAAGGCUUUGAAAAAUCAGCUUCUUGCUGAAGACCCAAGCCACGGGCUUUGUUAGACCUUUUGCAUGGGAAUGAAUUGCUUAAAGUUUCACGUGGAAAAAAAAAAACUGUUGAAACAAAAUCCUGCAUGAAGAAAAGACAAGGAACACGUCAAAUAAAAACUGUUGCAAAAAUAAAUAGAAAACGGUAAAAGGGGAUGAGAACGGGGAGGCAAAUAUAGGAGGCACGUGAAAGCUAAAACAAAUGGAAACCGCCAUGCAUGAAGACGCCAUGGGACAUGGGACUAGUGGAAGCAAAACAAAAAUGUUGGGAAGGUAUUCAGCAGAAACGGAAAGAGGAAAAAACUGAAUAAAGAAGGGCAAACAAGAAAAAUAAAGGGAUACAGUUAAGGAAAGGGGGAGCAAGGAAAAACCAAAAAAGGACAGAAAAAUGAAGGGAAGAAUGGUAGCAAAAUAAGAAAAGGAAAACAGAAAAGACAAGAGAGAGGUGAGGAAAAAAAAACUGGAAGCAGCAGGAAGAAAGAAGGUGUGAAAGAACACAGCAGGGAACGGGCGAAAAAGGAAUUGGAAAAACUGGAAAGUGAGGAGAGAUGCGUAGGAAGCAAACGGGCAACCAAAAGGAAAAGCAGAAAACGAAAGAAGCGGGUGCUCAAGAAAAACCAAAAAAGGUGGGAGGCAUUUUUGGGGGAAUGGGCUGCAUCGUGGAGUUGAGCAGAAAGAGCAAUGAACGUGAAAGGGGGAAAGAAAAAGAAGAAAGGAUGAGGGAAGAAACAAAAAAGGAAGCGAAACCUGAGGAAGAAAGGGACGUGAAAGGCAAACGGUAAACAAAAAAACAAUCAGAAGAGAAGACGUGAAAGGAGAAAGAAAGGAAGAAAAAAAAUAAAAGGGAGAAGCGAAACUGGAACGUGAGAAAAACGGUGCUGGAAAACUGGGCAAAUAACAAGAGAGAAGAGGGUAGUGGCUGAAAGGAAGAGAAGGAGAAAACGCAAAGAAAAAAUGAGGAAGAAGGUGAAAACAAAAUGGCAGCAGGCAUUCGAGGAGGGUAUGGCGAAACCAGAAACAACAGGGAGGCAUCCAAAAACUAGGCGUGCACUAGGAAGAAAUUUGCAGGAAACAGGAAAAUGUGGAAACGGAAAAACCUCGGUAAAGCAGAAAAAAAAGGAAGGCAAGAAAACUAAAUGAAAAAUAGUAGCAGAAGCGACUGAGCAAGGACGCCAAUAGCAGAAAAGUUCCAGGAUGUGAGGAGGAAGAAGAAAGGAAAAACGAAAAAGCAAAGAAGGUGAGGAAAACGUAGAAACACGAAAAAAUUUUUGCAGCAGAAAAAGGACAAGAAGAAAGAAACGGGAAGGAGAAAGAAUUAAAAAAAAAAAAAGAUGAAAAACUGACUGCAAGAACAGGUAGCAUUUUAUUCACCUCUUUCAACUAGCUCACGUUCACGUUUUGAAAUGCACGGCUAGUGUGUUUACCUUUUUCAUUAAAAAGAGAGAGAGAGAGAGAGAGAGAAGAGCUUUUAAAGAAACAAAACAGAAAGGUCUUAAAAGUUUUUCUUUUCCAAAUAAAAACAUGUUGGAAACCGUCUAGGAUAAAUUCUGUCAAAAGGAUUCAAGGCACUUAAGGUUCUUGUUGUUUUUUUAGAAACUUGAAAGCUUCAUUGUUUCUGUUUGGUUUAUUCUUGCACGUUGGAUGUUUUUUGCUCAUUGGAAGUUUGGCUAUUGAAGUUUUGGCUUUUGUUGAUGAUGAUAUCACGAUUGGUUUUUGUCUCAUAAUUGUAUUAUGUUUCUUUGUCAAUCACCCAUAUUUUCGGUUCUGACUAGGUUAUGAAAAUUAUUUUUUAUGCUCCAAUAAUUAAGAUAUUCAUGAGAGACGAGCUUGAUAGUUGUGAAAACCCGUAGAAGAGUUACUGUGCCUAGACAUCAAGAGCUUGAUAGUUAUUUAAAAUCGUAGAAAAGUUCCCGAUCCUAGGCAUUAUGAUUGUAAUUUUGAUUAGGUUUUUACAUUAUAAAGUUGCUCUUUUCAUCUUUUCGCUUAGCUUAAAAUAUAACAAGGGAUGUUCAUGAGUUACAAGGAUAAUUUGAUAAUCGGUUUUGGAAAAGGGUGGUGUAAGGACAAGAAAUUUGCCAUUUUUCAUGCAUAUGACCUACUAUUCGUUCUCCUUAUACUCUAGGUUUAUUCAAAACAACAACAACAACAAUAAUUAUAAUAAUAAUAAAUUUUAAAUCUCUGCUUAAUUAGAUGUUGGAAAGAAUUAAAAAUCAUGUUUUAACAAUAAUAAUUUUGCUUAAAUGCAGGAGAAUUAUUAAAUAAAAUAAUAAAAAAUUAAUAAAUUAUAAUGAUAAUAAAAUUUUUAAUGAAAAGGAAAAUAAGUAAAAAUAUAAAAGUUCAUUUUUUAGAAAACUUAUAAAAAAAACAAGCUUGUACUAAAAUAUAUAUAUAUAUAUAUAUAAGAAUUAAUAUUUGGAAAUUAUAAAAAACAAGUUUACUUCAAAAGUUUGCUUAAAUGUUGAAGAUUUUUAAGGAGGUUCAUAAAUUCCUAAAAUCCCAAAACCUUAGGUGAAAUUCGAAACCCUAGGUGAGACCUUAAAAGUAAAACUUUAAAUCAAAACCUUAAAUUGAAAUCUCAAAAUCGAAACCUUAAAUGCAACCCUAAAAUCAAAACCUUAAGGGAAACCCAAAACCCUAAAUAGGCCGUAGUUGAAACCUUAAACCUUAAAUUAAACUUUGCAAUCCUAAAUAUUUCCAAAACCCUAAUUUCAUUUUAAAUUUUAAGGAUUCAUAUCAAGUUUAUUUUAUGGAAUAAUAUGUUUUUGAAUAUUGCCUAAAUGAUGGGGUAUUUAGGAAAUUGUAUUUCGUUAAGAGUUUUUUCAUAUAUCUCUAUAACUUAAAAUAAAAAUGAAAAAAAAUAGAUUUUAAAUAUAAAAAGUCAUACCCAAACUCUGCCUAAAUGUUGGAGAGUCCAUGUGGUCUUUUUUUAUUUAGAGACUUAAUCUUGAUUUUAAAUCUCUUUGUCAUUUAAGACACAUUUGCAUAUAUUUAUUUUCUUGCACUCAUUAUACAUAUACAUGCAUCUUUAAUUUUUGUUGUGUAUGGUUUACUAUAUCCUUUUCUAUUUUUAUUGCACAAAAAGCUUCCUUUGAAAAAAUUGAUUUAAAAAAAUAAUAAUAAAUUAAAUUAAAUUAAAGAAGCAUUAUGUGAAAUAUAAUAACUAGUACUCUGCCUAGAUGGUGGAGAGUCAUCAAUGAUUAUCAUUUACAGAGAAUGAUAUUUUAAUAUUUUUAAAGGAAUGUUAUAAUAAAUCUUAGAUGAAAAGAUUAUCUUUGAAUUCUGCCUUUAUGUCGGAGAGUUUAAAGGUAUUUCUUUAAUCUAAAAAUUUCAUAAUAUUCAUAAAUAAAGAUGUUUCUUUAACUGAUUUUAUUUCUUAAAAAUGAAGGGAAUUAUAAUUAAAUUUCAUAUAAAAACUAUUUUUAACCAAACUAUUAAUAGCGUAUAAUUAAUUGGUAUCAAUUUUGUGUGCGUUGUAAGGGUGCUAAUCCUUCUCCAUAUGUAAUCGACUCUUGAAUCCAAUCUUGUUUUCGUAGACCAAAACUGUCUUUUUAAUAAACUCUAAACCCCCUUUUAUUAAAAAGAUAAAAUUUUUAUGUAACCAAUCACACCUAAAAAAAAAUUGGUGACUACUAUUUGUUUUUUCCACAAUUAUAAAUAAUUACAUCUAGCAAUUGAAUCUUUAGACCUAUACAUUAUAAGAGGUAUUGGCGCAAAAAUUCAUGAUGAAAAGAAUGGAGUUAUUUUUGGUUAAUAUGCCUGAGAAGCAACUGUUGGAUGGCGAAACAAAGGAAAACUCAGUGCAAUGUAGAAGAUUUGGUUAAUGUUCAUUUUCACUAGUCAUCGCAUCUUUCCUGACCUUUAUACAAUUCGACAUCUCAAGCUAGUGAUUUUCCUCAACUAUUUCAUUCUUAUGACCCAAUGAUCAUAUCCUAAACUCCUUUACCAUGGAUAUUCACCAAAUAAAAAAUCAACUCAGUUCAUCCACAAAGCCAUAAUAAAAAGAGAGCCAAAACACACCACUUACUUCCAAUGUCCUAUGGAACUUUUUCCUCUAAUUGUCAAUAAACCUAUAAUUUUCGCUAUCCUUGUAAAGCCUAGAAAGCCUCCUCACCUAAAGUGAUAUGAUCCCAAUGCUAAAUGUGAAUACCAUAAUGGGGUCAAAAGAUAUUUCAUAGAAGAUUGCACUACUUUCAAGAAUACAAUUCAAUCAUUAAUUGAUGUAGACCCUACAAAAUUUAAAAAAUUGGUUGGUGGCUAUGAUAAUUGAUGAGAAUGGAGUUAAAGGUCAAGAUUGUAUAGGUGAGGCUCCAACUAGGGGACGUUUUCUUGUUUAAACUUAUAUAUCAUCUUGAGAACACCUUUAAGAAUGAGAAUUUGGAGUUGGGUUUGAAUAUUUGUUUUGAAUGAAUGGAUAUAGUGCAUUACAUUGCCUUAUUGCAUUUGUGAAUAUUGUCAUUUGAAGUUUUAACAAGUUUUAAGUCUUGGAUUUUUAAUAUUUUUCCUAAAAAACAAAUAAAAGUAAUAUAAAAAGGAAAAUUGUUGGAUUUCAAAUAAAGCCCCACAUAAUUAAUUUCCAAAGUCAUUAAAAAAAAAAAACCAAGAAGAGGAAGAAAAUGCUUUGAAAAAAAAAAGAGAUAGAAAGAAAAAGAAACUUUUCCUCUGUAAUAAAAGAUGAAAUGAGUCUUGAAGGAAUUGGUAUUCACUAUUAAAAAUAAAACUCAUCAAAUAACUCCACACUUUUUUAAAAUCAAUUGAUUUCAUUCAUCAACCAUAACCCCUCAAAAAGUAUGAACUUGAAUUCGUGAACUUUGCCUUCGCUUAAUAACAUUAUAGUAUUCUUUUUUUAGACAAUGAACAAUGAGACAACCACAUUCAAAACCAAAAAAAAAAAAAAAAAGAAAGAAAAAUUGGAUUCCAAAAAGGUCAAGCAAAAGCAAACAUGACAUUUUUUUUUAACAAUUUGGAUAUGGUAAUUUGAUAAAUGUCAAUGCUAUGCUAUUCCCAAAACCAAAGCCACCUAGAUAUUUUUUAAAAAUGCCUAUAAACAUACCAACCUCCCAGUUCUCUGCCUCAAAUUUGUCCUUAUCUAAUAACUUAAGGGCACAUUUUCCAAAAAAAAAAACUUAUUUCCCUUUAAGAUAACUAAAAUUAUGAUUAACUUGUUCUUUGUUGUGGAGUAACAUGGAUUCCUUAGUACCUUAAAUUAGUUUACUCCACAUGACCCUUUUUUCUCAUUUUAACCUUUAUUAGGGAUGGAUUGCCAAAAUAAGGCAUUUUUCUUGAAUGGUGGUGGGAGGCAUGCAAAGCAAGAAAACAGGUGAAAGAAAAAAUAUAAAAAAAAUAGAGAAAAGAAAAAAAAUAGAGAAAAAAAGAGAAAUUUUGUGUUAUAACAUCAUGUACUUGAGAUAUUCAAAUAAAUUCAAAGACAAAAAGUCUCAAAAAAUUCAUGAAAAAAUCAAUGAGAAAAAUCUAAAGAGUUCACAAAAAAAAAUUCUUUCAAACGCUUUUUUCAUAAAGAAUUACUUUUCAAAUUUGAGUGACUUAUGCUUGAAAUGAUAAAUGGCUAUCUUUCAUUAUCCCUUCACAAAUAUAAAAAUUUAUCACUUGCUACUCCUUUGAGCCUAAUGAAAACUCUUUCAAAAUGAACUUUAACCUAAGAUCACCCUCCACAAUAGGGGCAAAAAAGAUGCAUUGAAUGGGUUAAGUAUGGUAAUGUCCAAGAACGAACCUUAGAUAUUGAGGGCAAAUGUUCAACAAAGGUUCCUAAAUUUUAGAUCCAUUUAAAGAAAAUGAAAAAAGAAGUGAAAGAAUGAAAAGGGAAAGGAAAAUAAAUGAAUAAAAAAAAGAAAUGAAAUAAAAAAAGAAAAAAAAUGGGGAAGAAAAAAAAAGAGAAAUAGAAAGAAAAAAGAAAAAGAUAUGAUAUGAAUGAUUCAGUCGAAAGCAUGGGGAAAUGAAAGGACAUAUGCCUCGCGAUAAAUCCUUCAAAUGAAAGAAUGAUCCUUAGUUUAAUCACCCUCAAGUACUUAUUUUGUGCCUAUUUAUUUUUUUUUUGUGACAAUCCCGAACCUUGACCUACGUCGCAUCCCAACAAAGAUCCAUAUUUGAUUAAGAAAGAAUGCUUUAAAUUGAAAAGUUUCUCUUUGAGGAAUGGCCACAAAACCUUUAAGUCUUUUUGGUCUUUUUUUUUUUAUUUCCAAAUUACCCACUUGGACCUUUAACCCAUUUUGGAUAUGUUUGAAUUGUUAAGUACAUGGUGUGAUAAUAAAAAAAAAAAUGAAUAUGACUGUAGGGUGAAAACUCUACAAAAUGGUAAUUUAAAGCAAAUCUUGAAGGCUUCAAAGCCAAUCUUGAUACUGAGCAAAGACAACCCAAACCUUUUUAAAAGAUCUAAGGAUAUAAAGGUUUCAACAGUUUAAGAUGCAAAAAAAGAAUUGAUUUUAAAAAUUCGAGCCUUCUUUCUACAUCAUUAAAUGAUCUUCCAAAACUUUGAGCCUACCAUUACUAACUUUAGCAUCUAUCAAAAUGUCACAUUUGAAUGCUAAGGAAAUUAUCAGACAUGUUUGAUUUUCAAGGGAUUCAAGUUUUUUUUGAAAAAUUUAUGUUUCAUUUGUAAGCUGGCAUGGAAAAAUAUGCACCCUUUUUAUCUAUUUUAGAUAGUGUGAAACCCUUUUUGAUUAAAUUGAAACCCUCAUAUGCUGAACCAUCUAAUCUGUUAGAAAGAAAAUUUCCCAUCCCUUUCAUUUUUUAAUAUGGAUGCCAACUUCCAAGAGACUCUUGAAGUCACAUUCAUUUAGAUAUUUCAUUUCUUUUAGGCUAAGGAAUUUAAUUAUGUAGGGCAAAUUUUGUUGACCAUUUUGAAAAUUUUGAAUGACCAGUCACAAAUUUGGUAAAAAAAAAGUCAUGUUUAUUGUAAAAAAAAAGUUCUUAAAUUGUGAUAAUUUUAGAUCAAUUUGAAUUCAAGAAAAAGAAAAUUGCUUUCAUUAAAAAUGUUUCAAGAAAUGAUGGUUUGUCUUCUUGUUUUCACAAUCCAAUCCAAAAUGCAUGCUGCAUCUUGCAUAUUGCAUGGUUAUGUGUCAGAAAUAGAAACAAAAAAGAAAGCAUGUUGAAAAUGAAAGGAAAAUCAAAAUAGAAGGAAGAUAUUAGUAAAGAAACAAGGUGGAAAAGGUGAAAAAGCAGAAAAGUCGAAAGUUGAGAUUAUUUUGGAAAGAAGUUGAAAGUUUGUUCGGAUAAACAGUAGAGAUAAGUAAAAUUGGGAAAGAAUUUUCUUUGAAAAAAAAAAGUGUUCUUGAUUUUUGCAUCCAAAUUAAGACACACACAUACAUCAUGAGGUUUUUGCAUUUACAUUAGCAUUGGCAUUUUUGAAAUGAAAUUCUACAUUGGCAUUGGCAUCACAAAAAAAGAAAAAAAAUAGAAAAACUAUAAAUGAUACCAAAUGAGGGACAUCAAUUUGGAUGGGAAAAUGAAUGAUGGAAGAACAAAGGAUAAUGAUGAUAGAGAAAUAGAAAUGAUGACUAAAAAAUAAAAAAAUAGAAAAAAUUAAUGAUGAGGAUAAGGGAAAAUGAGGAAAAAUGCUUUUAGCAAAAUUCCACAACAUAACCACUAGAGAUCAAGGCAAAAAGAUUUGAGAAAAGAAAAAGAAAAUGCUUGAAUUAAAGAAAGACUUCAAUUAAAAAAGUCAAAGUUGACUACUGAUGACCUAGCCACAACUAUAAAUUUGAAGAAUCUGUGUGAUCAUGAAAAUUUUGUUUCCAUGAGUACAAGCACAUGAUAUGAACAAAAUUUGAAGUCAUUGCAUUCAUCACAUACAUUGUAUGCAGAAUGAAUUUGAUCUUGAAAAAAAAAUCAAACAAAUGUAUUUUAAGAAUGAAUCCUUUGUCAAAAAAAAAAAAAGAACACAACAACAACAACAAGCAACAAACAACCAAAGAUG